GCCAUUAUUAUCCAUAAACUGUACUUUGGAAAAUUAUAUUUACUAAAUAAAAGUUUCAAAAAAAAGAAUGUGGGAUGUACCCUGGCAAGGACUGUAUUGUUAUCAAUGUUAACUCUUCUUUUUACCUGUGGGACCUCAUAUCAUGUAUUUUUCCUUUUUGUGAGGCUGGUUUCUCAUUUGUAAAUGACAAUCCAGUUUUCCUUCUUGGGAUAUUGGGAAGAUUAAACAUAAUGUUGGGACAGCAUAUGUUCUCAAAACUCUAAAACUCCUCAGAUACUUCCCUUGAAAUUACUGAGUUCUCUGCAGGCUACUCCCCUAUCAGACCAGUUGUGCUUUGAUUGGGGUACCAGGCACCACACCACAAGAUUUAACAAAAUGUACACUUUCAGACCUUGUCUUUGGAAGAACUGGCCUCUCAGCUACUCAGAAGGCAUUUUAGGAGCAGGAUGCCUGUGCAAAUGUAGGGUUCAAAUUUACCUUAUACUUCUAGACACAAAGAAGAAGAGUUGAUACUAACUUCAUUGCAGUUGCCACUGAAAGAUUUUAGAAGUCUUAAGAAAAUCAUUUAAGGGGCUGGCAUUGUGGAUGAAGCCACCGCCUGCAGUGCUGGCAUCCCACAUUGGUGCUGGUUCGAGUCUCAGCUGCUCUACUUCUGAUCCAGCUCUCUGCUGUGGCCUGGAAAAGCCGUAGUAGAAGAUGGCCCAGUUCCCUGGGCCGCUGCACCUGUAUGGGAGACCCAGAAGAGGCUCCUGGCUCCCAGCUUUGAAUCAGCUCAGCUCUGGCCAUUAUGGUCAUUUGUGUAGUGAACCAGUGGAUGGAUCUUUCUCUGAAACUGCAUCUCUCUGUAACUUUGUCUUUCAAAUAAAUAAAAUAAAUCUUUUAAAAAUCAACUAGGCAUCAUUUUCCUCCUCCCCAGCAUCGUCUAUUAAGGAACUGUAUUGUCCUGUUCUUUUGUGUAUAGAAUGCAUUCUCCCCACAACCUGAAUUCUUUUUAUGGCAGAGGGAAUGAGGGUGUUAAGAAGAAUCGGAAUCAGGAAUUUCUCAUCAGAGCCUGUAGACACUUCUAGGUUACACACAUUCUUUUAAAGCCUGGCCUUCCUAUGUGAGUUUGGGGUCUGUUUGAAGCCAGACAUCUGAGAUUCAGUGUUCGACUGGGUCUCAGGUUAAACCCUCUGGGAGAAUUCAAUACUCAAAUAAAGCUAAAAGAAAAUGAAGGAACAGGACCAUUUCGUUGUUUGUUUUGCUUAGAAACCACUCUCUGGGGAGCAGAGAGUUUUCUGUACCUGUCUCUGCUUGGUGGUCUGUCAUUUGCUGUGCUUUAACUUUAUCCUAGGAAGCCCACUACUAAUAGAAAAGGCCUCACUCUCCCUCAUUGUGUUCCUCUCCAGGGUAGUGCCUUUGAUGAGUGUGGGAGGGUACCAUCUUCUCUGAAAGAGCCUCACUGGCUGGAGAGAGAAUGACCAAAGUGGCCCUUGCUUUCCAGUUUUAAAUUCCCAGAGCCCUGUGGAAAUAGCAUUUGUAGGCAAAGGUAAAGUGACAUGAACUAUUAAAUCACAAGUCCUUUCAUCAGGAGAUUAGCCUAAGUGUAGACCCAGGAGGGACGGGAGGGCUUGCUCCCUUCAGUGGCAGCACACUAGGGUGCUUGUUUACUCAGCUACAUUUAACCACCAGCUGAGCAAGAGUCUAAUAGGAUCAAGUGUCCAGUCUCACUCUCUAGACAGGUCAUUUCUCAGGCUGCAGGCUGGAGAUCAUCUCUCACAGUGUCCACGUUUAAGGAUGUGGGCAUCACUGCCUUGGACAAAGCCAUGUGCUGUCAACUCUGAGCUGUACAGUGUACAUCUCUUCUGGAUUUACCACUGGGGCCACAUGGGAAUGCAAUUGUGUUCGUUUUCUGGAGGGAGUGUGGCAUUAGGUGAUACAUGAUGAGUCCAGGACUGGAAACCUGCAUUCUCCACUUCUGUUUCUUCACUUAGAAAAUGGGACAGAGGGCACAAACUACUGUGUAAGAAUAUGAGUGACAUAUAAUGUCUGUGCCAAUCGGGAGAGAAAGAAUUUCUACCAGGCAAGAUUGCCCUGUAGCUUCAAAUAUUGCUUUGUUUUUAAAAAAUGGCAGAGUGUAAUUAAAAAAAUUGCUUUGUAUCUUGUCAAAGCAAUGACUAAGUAUGAUAUACUACUAUAAUUUUAAUGAUUUGUGAUUUUUUUAAAACUUAAUGUAUAUGAGUGAAAUGACAUCUUUUCAUUUGAUUACUCUGUAUAGCCUUUGCUUAUAUUCCUACUGAACUAUGGUCUUUUUACAUUUUACUUUUUAAAAUAUGUAUAUGUAUAUAGAUAUAUAUAUUUCUGUACUUAUUUAUUUGAAAGCCAGAGUUAGGAGGAAAGAGAGAUCUUCUAUUUGCUGGUUCUCUCCCCAAAUGGCAGCAAUAGCUGGGGCUGGGCCAGACUUAAGCUAGGAGCAAGGAGCUUCUUCUGGGUCUUCCAUGUGGGUGCAGGGACCCAAGCACUUGGGCAUCUUCUGAUGCUUUCCCAGACACAUUAGAAGAGGCUGGAUUGGAAGUGCAGCAGCUGAGUGGGUUUUGAACUGGGGCCCGUAUGGGAUGCUGGUGAUGCAGCCAGAGGCUUAGCUUGCUAUGCCACAAUGCUGGCCCUACCUUUUACUUGUUGAGCCCUUUAUUUAGUGGAGCCUUUAGCCUUUGACUAUUUAAAAAUAUGUCAUAUAAAAAUUUAAAAAGAAAUAAAGAGGGAGAGAUAGAAUGAGGAAGAGAAGUAUCAGUAUAUUUUAGGAUUGUAUCUAUGAAAAAAAUAAAUUUGUAAAGUGGUAACAAGAAAAAAAUUAAUACUUCAGUUAUAUUAAAUUAUUUGGAUACUCUAAAUACAUGAAAAUGGGCUUUUUUGCUUUAGGCAGGUGAUGCCAUACUUUGCCUUGAGGAAGCCACUUUGACCCAUUGUGUUUCAAUCCCUACACACAGGCUCACGCACUGCCUCACCUGGCAAGCUCAGCUUCACCAUACUUUGAACUAGCCUCUGCUCUAGCUUAGGUAAACCUUCCCAGGCUAUUGAGCAAGUGAACACUUUUCCUUCUACAGGGAACUCAGGGGCUAUGAGUACAAGCCUAGCGGUUGGACAUCCUAGGGGCAUCUUGACCAUGAACUCCAUGGAAAUGGUGCCAGCUGCAUUUGGGGACAUCCUGUCAAUAUCUAGAAAGAGGACACAGCUCUUGCUCCAUGCUUGUGUUUAAUAUGCAGGGGAGCAUGUUAUAAAAUGCUCUGGGGUUGGAGGUCUUGAUCUGACUUCCUUAUGUACCUUAAUGUGAAUGAUUUUCUAGAUCUGGCCUCACAGUCAACCCAUAGAUUACCUUUACAGCCCUCAAACCAGGUCCUGAUCCUUCAAGACACUCUUAUUGCUUGUUCCAGUCCCUGUAUCAAAGCGGCCUGCACCUGUUUUUAUAUCUGGCCAACUCUUACUUGUGCUGCAGGAUCCAAGUUAAAAUAUGAAACUCGGCAGCGAAGUCUUUCCUGCAUUUUCCUGCCAGAGCUAAUCAUCCUUGCCUCUUUCCUUCCAUUUAUAGACAGUGUCUUGAUGUCAGGGGCUGUAUCCUUUUUUAAUAAAAUGCUUCUGAAAGUUUAAUGUGUGUGAGUCACCAGGGGAUCUUGUCAGAACUGUAGAUUCUUGUUCAGUGAGUCUGGGAUGGGACCCGAGAUUUCAUGGUUUUUUCACUGACUUCUAGGGGAUGCCAAGGCUGCUUGUCUGAGAAACACGCUUCAAGUAGCGAAGGUUUAUUAUUGAUGAGCUCAGGGUUUGGCGUGCGGUAUGUGCUUCAUCAGAGUCUUCUGAUUGUUGAAUAAAUGAUACUUGAUGCCUUUCAUCAUGGCCUUCUUGGUGGGAUUCUUGAUUUUUUGAAAAAACACAGCAAAAAAGUGAGGUGCUUUGAGGUCAUGUUUAGCACCUGUUCUGAUAAACUAUAUUCAUCUAUUGGCAUGGAGAACCUCUGAAUCUCUAUCUCUUAUUAGAAAUAAUAGCACACUUUUUCUAGGUGUUCACAUACAAUUUGCUAAGCUCUCCUCUAGGCACUUUACCUGUACUAGCUCAUUCCAUACAGGGACUAGCCCUAGGAGGUAGCUUCUUCAUCAAAACAAUGCUCUAACAAACAAACAAAAAAAGCUAUGGGGAUAAAAGAACAGAGGCUUGUUUCCUGCAGAUAUUUAACUCUUACCAGCCAUUCUGAUUGGUGGAGGCUCCGUUCCAAAUAGUGAGCUGGGGACCCAGGCAUUUUCCACCUUGUAGUUCUCCUGUCUUCAAAAUAUGACUUCUAAAUCCUGCAUCAUGUGGGUGGAGAGGGAACUGGCACAAGGGGUCAAGGUAGUGGUGCUCACACGUUUCUGUUCCCUUUCAUUUGUUACUCCGGCACAUAGCCAGCCCUAACUAAAAGGGAGGUUGCAAAUAUGGUUCAGCUGUGUGCAUAGCAAAGUAAGUAGUUGCUUGGUGAACAGAAUCUGAGUGUGACUUUCCUGGAAGUCUGAAUGUGUUUAUCAUUUUACCAUUGCUACAGAGGUCUCAGAUAAGUCUUUAUGCUCUGAGGUAUAAUGGGAACUCAGCAACAGGGGCUACCUGGCAGGGAAGUGACUGGAUCUGUUUAUGCAACAUAGGUCAUCUGGAUUUAGAGACGCCUGUCUUCUCUGUGAGGUUGGACGGAGGAUGGGAAGAUAGCACUGCCGUGUAUCAUGACAAAGGCAGGACUCUGAGUUGGCUCAGUGGGCAGCUGGGACACACAGAAAUGCUUGCAGGGACAUUUACAAUCAGAUCAAAGGGCAAUGCUCAGGAGGGUCCUCUUUAGAGAGCUGGAGACAGAUGGGUGAGAAUGACUAAUGGUGAUAGCUAGUAGUCUGUGGUCCAUACCACAUCUCUGCUGAAAACUGCAACUCAGCUCCUCACUGCCCUUGGGCAGAAGUUUGCAUUCCAAAUGCGCUUAGUGAGCCUGCAGGAGAGCUGCUUCUUACCAGCCUUACAUCUGGCCAUCUCCUCUGUGCUGUGCCCAUCUCUCCAGCCCAUGCUUAAUGCCCGCCCUGCAGAGCCAUGUUGCCCCGUGCAGUGUCCUGGAUUCAGCCUCUGCUCUGACCAUUCUCCUGCCUGCAGUGAACCUUGAUCCCCUCUCUCUUGUAGCCAUUUCCACUUGCUUUGUCUUGUCACACAGUCUGGCUGGAUGACUCUUGCAGGCCUUGACCAGCACCAAAACUUUGUUUGAUCUAGAUGUCAGUCUAGAUGUUGUUGGCAUGGCUGCACUUUAAAGUCCCUCUUCUGUGCACCCCUGUCUCCUUGAAUUAGUCCUUAUUGUAGCCCAUGUUGUGCACCUUCUCAGUGCUUUGUCUUCUUCUACUUCUUCCUUUCAUUGGUUCAGAGGAGAGACAGUGCCAUAUCCACUGUUGAAUUCUUAUCCCUGGCAUAGAGCAAGUAGCAAGUAGAUAUUUGCUAAAUAGUGGGGUUAUUGUAAGGCUGUGUGCAUCUCGUUAGCACAGGGUUCUUAGGUCUCACUCCAGGCGUGCUGCUGAUCAACAUUCCUCCCAGAGCACCCGAUUGGUUAAGUACCAUAGUCAGAGUUGAAGAGAAUCUGGAUGUGGUGCAUGAGUGUGAGACUUGGGGUCUAGGGGCUGUACAUCACACUGAGGAUGCAGAGCAAAGCUCUGCUAGGUGGGAGGCCUAGAGCCCAGGGUUGGUCUACAUGUUGCCCUCUGGCUGGCAGAGCUGGGAUCUGAACAGAGUUCACUUGCAAGGCAAGCUGAGUGAUGUUGUGCAACUGGGAGAUGGACCAGCCCUGAAUCACACUGCAUCCCAUGAGGGGAGUUUGUUAUACAAACAAGGUUUUGUUAUUAAAAACAGUAGUUUUUCCUUAGGGAUAACUUAGUUCCUUUGUGAAACUUAUUAUUUUAAAAUAUGGACUCAGUGGGGCUAUAGGUAUUAGAAAUAAAGGCAAGCAGAUGCAAAAGGAAUGAGACCAGAUCAUUAAGGGGGAAAAUAACCCUAGAAAAUCUAAAAAUAUGUAUUUUUUCACAAUCAAAAAUACCAUGUAAGCUUUCAGUGUCCAGUAAAAGAAGUAUUCUAGCUCAUCUAUUUACUUUAGUAUGGGGGAGGAGUUGUUGUUCCGGAGUACUCGCUCUCAAGUAUUGCAGUAACAAUCACUUCUAUUCACGUCUGUGACGCUGUUUGAGUUUCAGAACCCAACAAUGGAAUUUUCAUUGAUGGUAAUAACUCUUGAUGUAGCGAUCUUACAUAGGAAUCCACUGUACACCUAUUAAUCAUAGGUAAAUGCCAAUUACACAAUGGAAGAAAGGAGAGGGGAGGGAUUUGGCUUUAAAGGAAGAAGAUGUAUUAUGUUGAUGCUGCAGAGCAAUGCCCCAUGAUGCUUCCCUGCAUGUACAACCUCAUUCAUCAUGUCUUCAAGAGGUAGUGACAAACUGUCCUGGUUAACAGCAGGAAUUUCAAAUAAGACCAUCUGGGUUUGAAUCCUGAAUCUGCCACUUGCCAAGUGUAUGACAUGGGUAGGUUAUUUAACCUCUUGUGUCUCCAUUUCCUAAUGUGUAUAAUGUAGACAGUAAUGUACCUACCCGCCUCCACGGCUGGUGUGGUGUUUCCAAAUAAGAAUCCUUUUCUAUGGGCACAUAUAGCAAGACUACAUUUGGCAGCUUUCUUGAAAGUUAGGCGUGGCCAUGCGUUUGAGUAAUAUAUAAUAUAUAAAUAGAUAAAUACACAGCAAUUGUAUGUACCACCCCUCAACCCCAAAUGUUAAUUCCUUUUCACCUACAUGUUGCAGACAAGCACAGUCACUUGGAAACCACAUUUUGAAGAUGCUAAGGCCAUAGGAUAUAAAGAAUCUGGGUCUCUGAGUCACUACUUGGAGCAGAAUCACUUACAAUAGAAACACCUGAUAGUUAUUUGUGAACAGAAAUAGUGAGUUGUCAUAUCUUUUUGGGUUGUUAUAGCACUAUUUUAACUAAUAUAAUGAUUUUAGGGUUAUUAUGAUAAUGAAAAAGUUUAUGGUGCUUAGAGCAGAGCUUAGCUAGUAAUAUGUAAACAUCUAGGAAGUGUUUGCCAUUAUUAUCAUUAAGAAAUAAAGAGAUAAAUUGAUUCUCCAUCCAAACUGAUGAAUAUAGUUGAUUGGAGAAACUGUUAAACUUGUCUUCAGUGUGUCUCAUUUCAAGUUCCUUCAAGUUCCUCACUAAAAUGUUUUAUCUUUUUCUUAACUUUGAUUAAUCCAACCAACAUACAGCUGUGAGUUUUAACUAAUAAAUUAUGUCAGUGUAUGGGACUUUGUGGGUGAGAGGAUGUAUAAGGUAAAGGUUGUAAAUGCACACCCUGGAACUAGAUCACCUUGCCUCCAGGUCUUUUUUUUAACUUUUAUUUAAUAAAUAUAAUUUUCCAAAGUAGAGUUUAUGGAUUACAAUGGCUUUUUCCCACCCAUAACUUCCCUCCCACCCGCACCCCUCCCAUCUCCCGCUCCCUCUCCCAUUCCAUUCACAUCAAGAUUCAUUUUCAAUUCUCUUUAUAUACAGAAGAUCAGUUUCGUAUAUAUUAAGUAAAGAUUUCAUCAGUUUGCACCCACACAGAACAUAAAGUGUGAAAUACUGUUUGAGUACUAGUUAUAGCAUUAAUUCACAUUGGACAACACAUGAAGGACAGUGAUCCCACAUAAGGAGUAAGUACCCAGUGACUCCUGUUGUUGACUUAACAAAUUGACACUCUUGUUUAUGGCGUCAGAAAUCUCCCUAGGCACUAGUCAUAAGUUGCCAAGGCUAUGGAAGCAUUGUGAGUUUGCUGACUUCGAUCUUAUUUAGACAAGGUCAUAGUCAAAGUGGAAGUUCUCUCCUCCCUUCAGAGAAAGGUACCUCCUUCUUUGAUGACCCAUUCUUUCUACUGUGAUCUCACUCGCAGAGACCUUUCAUUUAGGUGGUGUUUUUAUUUUUUAUUUUUUUAUUUUUUUUGGCCAGAGUGUCUUGGUUUUCCAUGCCUGAAAUACUCUCAUGGGCUCUUCAGCCAGAUCCGAGUGCCUUAAGGGCUGAUUCUGAGGCCAGAGUGCUGUUUAGGACAUCUGCCAUUCUAUGAGUCUGCUGUGUAUCUCACUUCCCAUGCUGGAUCGUUCUCUCCCUUUUUUAUUCUAUCAGUUAGUAUUAGCAGACACUAGUCUUGUUUGUGUGAUCCCUUUGACUCUUAGACCUAUCAGUGUGAUCAAUUGUGAAUUGAAAUUGAUCACUUGGACUAGUGAGAUGGCAUUGGUACAUGCAAUCUUGAUGGGAUUGUAUUGGAAUCCCCUGGCACAUUUCUAACUCCACCAUUUGGGGCAAGUCCGAUUGAGCAUGUCCCGAAUUGUACAUCUCCUCCUUCUCUUAUUCCCACUCUUAUAUUUAACAGGGAUCACUUUUCAGUUAAAAUUCAACACCUAAGAAUAAAUGUGUGUUGAUUACAGAGUUCAACCAAUAGUAUUAAGUAGAACAAAAAAAUACUAAAAGGGAUAAAGUAUUAAAUUGUACAUCAACAGUCAGGGCAAGGGCUGAUCAAGUCACUGUUUCUCAUAGUGUCCCUUUCACUUCAACAGGUUUCCUUUUUUGUGUUUGGUUAUUUGUCACCAAUCAGGGAGAACAUAUGAUAUUUGUCUCUUUGGGACUGGCUUAAUUCACUCACCUUGCCUCCAAGUCUUACAUUUCCUACUUGCUCUAUAAGCUGUGUAAAUUUUUCUCGAGUUGUCAUGGAUGUCUCUGCUUCUAGUCCCUGAACAGGAUGAACAGAAUUUACUUCUGUAGGUAGGUGAAUGCUCUUGCUUGAGUCAGUCUUGUCUUCCCCAAACUCCUGGGAAUCUUUAAACUCUGAUGUGUUAAUGUUAAUGGUUGCUGGGUUAAGGGCAGAGACUUGAUCUAAUUAUAGCAUCUGAGAGGUGGGUCUGCUGGGAGGUCUUUAGGUCAUUGUGGGGGGGGGCGUGUCCUCAGAGAAGGAUUCUUGUGACAGGGUUGAUUAUUUGAGCUCCAGUUCUGCCUAGCUGUUCUGAUUCUGUUUCCUGGCUUACCAUGCGAUUAUACCACCACAAUUACCAUGAGCAACAGCCUGUAUUAGAUGCUGUACUACAGGAUGCCUAAUCCAGAACUGUAACCUCAAAACUUUGUGCUGAAAUAAACUUUUUCUUUCCCAAGAACCUUCUUUCAAGCAUUUUAGUUGAAUUUAUGAAAACUAGACAAAUACAGUGAGGGUAACCUAAAACAUAUAAGCCACCUUGAGAAAUAUGCUGAACACACAGGAAGGUCUCAGCGAGUGUUUUUCAUUGUUUUGGAGCAUACGUGGGUUUCCUUGUUUCCCCUUCACUCUACCUUUAAUUCAGGGUAAAAUCUCCACAUCUUCCUCAAUGCUUUCCUCUCAUGGAAACUCUGUCUCCCCUGUAUUCCUGGUGAUCGCUAAUACCUUAGCUUCAAACACCUUUGUGAAGCACUUGCAACAGGGCCUCUUCUUUUCUGGGUAUUUCUGGCUGUGGAAAUAGAUUUGAGACAGUUAAGUAUCUGGCUUCACUUGUUCAAUCUUAAAAAUCAAUGUUCAAGUCUUGACAUGUAGUGAAGGCUUAACAUGGUUUUUCACAUCACCACAGGUGUAAAAGUUUGAACAUCACAAUGUGAGACGUUAAAAAAAAAAAAAAAAGAUUACUGACAGUCUAAAGCUUCUUAUUCCCAGAUAUUCGCUUUGCUUCCAAGAAAUUCUCAGUCAUACUUUCUCUUUUCUUUGAUUUUCCAUAUGUAAGAGUGCUCACGACUGCUGGGAGUCGUGCCUCAAUGCUGACUCAGUGCUGAUGAGUCACUGCAGUAGUUAGUAGGUAUGCCUUCGAUAGAACUGAAGAAAGGAAGAGAUGCUUUUAUGUACAACUUGUCUUACAAUAUGAGGUUUUCCUUGUACCUAGAGGAUAAACAGGGCAAUGUGCUAGUAGAUUAAUUUACACUGAGGGGGCUGACAAGAGACUCUGACAUGUUUGAGACACCAGCUAGUCCUAGCUCUUUCUAACAGAUUUCUUUAGGCAAUACACAGCCCAAUUUUUUGUUUGCAUGUAUUUCCCCUUAUUUUAGUUAUUUCCAUCUUUUGUGGCAUUAUAAAGAGAUUAGAUUAUGAUUAUAGAUUGCUGUGAUUUGAAUGUUAUCUCUCCAAAAUUCAUAUGUCAAAACUCAGUGGCCAUUGUGAUAGUCUGAAGAGAGGUGCUUUUGGAGGUGAUUAGCUCCUGAAGAUUUUUCCUCAUGACUGGCAUUAAGGCCCUUACAAAUGAGGCUUCACGUAGCAUUUGGCUUGUCCCUCUGUCUCUUGCACCUGUGAAGUUGCAAGCAUUACUCCCAUGGAGAGAAUGCAGUUCCAAGGCAGCUUCUUGGAAAGACAAGGUCCUUCCUACCACAUUCCUGGGCCGUGGACGCCCAGCCUCAACACUGUGAAAUAUAAAUUUCUGUUUUGUUAUGGAGGCAUAAGUAGACUAAGGCAUAAAUGGUGCACAUAACAAGAAAUCAGAGAGGAAGUUCCCUGAUUCCCUCAGGUGGUCAGUUGACUUUGGAUUGCACAGACUUUGUCACCCAUGUUAGUUUCCAGUUGCCUACAUUCUCACCUCUCAAUGAGAUGAUUGUAACAGAGGAUGUGGGGAUUUUUUCCUUGCUCAUCGGGGUGUACACUGUGCCAGGCCUGGAGUGGGCCUAGGGGAGUAUUCUGAAAAAAUGAGCUAGUCAGGGAGAGGGAGGGCCACCUAUUGUCACCCACCUGGGUUCAGAACAUUUGGAUCCCUAAAUCUCUGGGAGUGAUCAGAGUGAAGCAUCACCAGAAGUAGAAACAUUUGAGGAUAAGAAGUCAAUCACUAAAACUGAUAAUGUGAGAUUAAAUGACAGAACUGUGGUCAGAAAGAAUUUUGAUUUCCUCCUUUUUGAAUAUUUCUUAUCUUUGGAUAUUGUUAAUGCUUUGAAAAGCCAAUGAGAAUUUUCUAUUUUUAUGUUUGUCUUAUGUUAAUAAAAGAUCAACACCAAUUGUAUUGCAUAAAACCGUAUAAUAUAACUAGAAUAAAUAAAUGCAUAAUUAUUGCAUGGUUAAGCCAUUUUUUAAAAGUAUUUAUACAAGAAGAAGAGAGAGAGAGUGACACAGAGGCAGCACUAUAAUAGGCUGGUUGACUUUACAAAACCUGUAAUAGCUAGAGAUUUGGAACUCAUCUCAGAUUUCCUAAGUAGGAAAUAGAUCCAACUAUUUGAGCCAUCACUGUUGCUGCCCAAGGUGCCAGUUAAGUGGAAAACUGGAAUCUGGAGCCAGAGCUGGGAAUUGAACCCAGGCACUCUGAUUUGGGAGGUGGGUAUCCUAACUUGUAUCUUAACUGCAGGUGUGAACUCCUGCCGCAAGCCAUUCUUUAUAAUAGUAAGUCAAGCAUGUCCAUUUUAUGUGCUUAGUAAUUAAAAUUUUUGAUACUUAAGUAGAAAAUAAUUGUCAUAUCCCUUGUGUGCUUUAUAAAGGAGGGAAUUUAGAGUAAUGAGUGAGGAAUAAAUUAAAAAAUAUUUACAAUGUAUUAAAAAUUUACAAAAAAUUGGCCUGCGCCGUGGCUCAAUAGGCUAAUCCUCUGUCUGCGGUGCUGGCACACCUGGUUCUAGUCCUGGUCGGGGCGCCAGAUUCUUUCCGGUCGUUCCUCUUCCUGUCCAGCUCUCUGCUGUGGCCCGGGAGUGCAGUGGAGGAUGGCCCAAGUACUUGGGCCCUGCACCCGCAUGAGAGACCAGGGGAAGCACCUGGCUCCUGGCUUCAGAUCAGCAUGGUGCGCCUGCCGCAGUGUGCUGGCUGCAGCGGCCAUUGGAGGGUGAACCAACGGCAAAGGAAGACCUUUCGCUCUGUCUCUCUCUCUCUCUCACUGUCCUCUCUGCCUGUCAAAAAAAAAAAAUUACAAAAUUAAAUCAUUAUCAUUGGAUAGUUUCAUAGUAUAGAAUUAUAAUUGAUUAUUUCUUAUGGUAGUACCAAAUUGUCAGAACUCCCAUUUGUUGAAUACCUACUAUGUGUUUUGCUGAUCUUGUACAUAAUAUGGUGAAUUAGAUAUAAUUUUUUAGCUUUGUUCUUUUCUUAAAAAUUUUAUUUAAGUUAUACAGGUUUCAUGUAUUUCAUAUAUGGAAACAUAGAUUUGGGAACAUAGUGACACUUUCCCCCUACCCUCUCUUCCACCCAUGCUGCAACUCUUCAUCCUCCUCCUUACAUCUCCACUCUUGAUUUUUACAAAGAUGUAUUUUCAGUUUACGUAGUGAUUGUAUUGUUAACCCUAUACUAAAUAAAAGAAUUCAGCAAAUAGUAUGAAGAGAGAAUAAAAAACCAAAAACCAACAUUAUUCCUCUAUAGAAGAGAAAAGGGCUGUAAAUAGUCAUUGAAUCUCAAAAUGUCUACUUUAUUCCAAUACAUUACGGUUCAGGUUCUCUAUUAGUUACCCUGGAUCAGGUAAAAUAUAUGAUAUCUAGGCCGGUGCUGUGGCUCACUAGGCUAAUCCUCCGCCUUGUGGCGCUGGCACACCGGGUUCUAGUCCCAGUCGGGGCGCCGGAUUCUGUCCCGGUUGCCCAUCUUCCAGUCCAGCUCUCUGCUGUGGCCAGGGAGUGCAGUGAAGGAUGGCCCAAGUCCUUGGGCCCUGCACCCCAUGGGAGACCAGGAUAAGUACCUGGCCCCUGCCAUCGGAUCAGCGUGGUGCGCUGGCCGCAGCGCGCCGGCUGCAGCGGCCAUUGGAUGGUGAACCAACGGCAAAGGAAGACCUUUCUCUCUGUCUCUCUCACUGUCCACUCUGCCUGUCAAAAAAUAAAAAUAAAAUAAAAUAAAAAAUAUAUAUGAUAUCUGUCUUUUUGGGAAUGGCUUAUUUCACUAAGUAUAAUGGUUUCCCAUUGCAUCCAUCUUGUCACAAAAGACAGGAUUUCAUUUUUUUUUACAGCUGAGUAGUACUCCAUAGUUUAUAUAUACCAUAAUCUUUUUAUCCAGUUAACAGUUGAUGAACAUCUGGCUUGAUUCCAUAUCUUAUCUAUUGUGAUCUCUACUGCAAUGAACAAGGGAGUACAGACAAAUCGUUCAUAUACUGAUUUUUUUUGUUUGGAUAAAUUCCCAGGAGUGGGAUGGCUGGAUCAUAUCAUAGGUAUAUAAAUUCAGAUUUCUGAAGUAUUUCCAUACUGUCUUCCACAGUGGCUGCACCAGUUUACAUUUCCACCAACAGUGGACCAGAGUACCUUUCUCUGACAUUCUCAUGAGUAUUUGUUGUUUGUUGAUUUCUGUUUAAGAACCAUUAUAACUGGAGUGAGGUGAAACCUCACCAUGGUUUUGACUUGCAUUUCCCUGAUGGCUAGUGAUCCUGAGCAUUUUUUAAAAAGAUUAUUUAUGUUAUUUGAAAGGCAGAGUUACAGAGUUGGGGGUCUUCUAUCCACCAGUUCACUCCCCAAUUGACCACAUGAUCAGAGCUGUGCCGAUCCGGAGCCAGGAGCCAGGAGCUUCUUCCAGGUCUCCGACAUGUGUGCAGGGGCCCAAGGAAUUGGGCCAUCUUCCACUGCUUUCCCAGGCCAUAACAGAAAGCUGGAUCAGAAGUAGAGCAGCUGAAGUUCGAACUGGCACCCAUAUGGGCUGCUGGCACUGCUGGCAGCAACUUUACCCACUAUUCCACAGUGCUGGCCCCAAUCCUGAGAAUUUUUUCAAGUGUCUUUUGGUCAUAUGAUUUUCCUUUUAUGAAAAAUGCCUGUUCAAGUCCUUUGCCCAUUUCCUAACUAGACUGUUUGUUUUGUUGUUGAAUUUCAUGAGCUCUUAAUAGAUUCUAGAUGUUAACCCUUUACCUGUUGCAUGGAUUGCAAAUAUUUUCUCCCAUUCUGUCGGUAGCCUCUUCACGUUGAUUGAAUGUUUCCUUUGCACUGCAGAGGCUUCUCAGCCUGAUGUAAACCCAUUUGUAAAUUUUGGCUUUGAUAGCCUGUACUUCUGGAGCCUAUUCCAAGAAGCUCUUGACUAUGCCAGUGUCUUGCAGAGUUUCCCCGAUGUUCUCUACUAAUUUGAUGGUAUUGAAUCAUAGAUUUAGGGCAUUGAUCCAUUUUGGGUGAAAUUUUUAUAUAAUGUAAAAGGUCUAGUAUCAUACUUCUACACAUAGAGAUCCAGUUUCUCCAGCACUAUUUGUUAAAGACACUGUCCUUGCUUCAGGAAUUCGGGGUUGUGGACGCGUGGAUUGAUUUCUGGAGUUUCUAUUCUGUUCCAUUGAUCUACACAUCUGAUUUUGUGCCAGUAACAGGCAGUUUUGAUUAUAACUGCCCAGAAGUGUGUCUUAAAAUCAGGUAUUUUGUUGCUGCCAGCCUUGUUUUUGUUAUAUAAAAUUGUUUUAGCUAUUCGGGGUCUAUUGCAUUUCCAUAUGAAUUUUAGCAUCAUUUUUUCUAGAUCUGCAAAACUUUCAUUGGUAUUUUGAUUGGGAUUGUGAUGAAUCUGUAAAUUUCUUUGGGUAGAAUGGACAUUUUGAUGAUGUUCAUUCUAAAACAUGAACAUGGAAGAUUUCUCCAUUUUUAAAUGUCUUCUGUUUCAUUAAUAUUUUGUAAUUUUCAUUGUAGAGAUCUUUGAAAUCCUUGGUUAAAUUUAUUAUAAGACAUUUAAUACUUUUUUGGAGCUAUUGUGAGUAGGACUGAUCUUUCUCAGCCAUGACAUUGCCUGUGUAUACAAAAGCUAUUGAUUUUUCCAUGUUAAUUUUUAUAUCCUGCCACUUUACCAAACUAUUUUAUGAGUUCCAAUAGCCUCUCAGUGGAGUCUUUUGGAUCUCCUAUAUAUAGAAUUAUGUAAUUAGUUUUGAUCUCCUCCUUUCCAAAUUGUACCCCUUUGAUUUCUUUAUCUUGCAUAAUGGCUCUGGCUGAAACUUCCAGGAAUAUAUGCUAUAGAAAUAGUGAAAGUGGGCAUCCUUGUCUCAUUCCAAAUCUUAGGGGGAGUGAUUCAAAGCGUUUCCCUAUUCAGUGGGACACUGGCCAUGGGUUUGUCAUAAAUUGCCUUGACUGUCUUGAGGACUGUUCCUCCUAUAGCCUAUUUGCUUCUUAAGAUUUUCAUCAUGAAAGGUUGUUGUAUUUUAUCAGAUGCUUUCUCUGCAUCUGUUGAGAUAACUGUAUGGUUUUUGUUUAGCUUGUUAAUGUGAUGUAUCACACUUAUUGAUUUGUGAAUGUUUGAACAUCCCUGCAUACCAGGGAUAAAUCCCACUUGGUUCAGGUGGAUAAUCUUUCUGAUGUGUUGUUGGAUUCGAUUAGCUAAUAUUUUUUUGGGAAUUUUUCUAUCCAUGACCCUCAGGAAUAUUGGUCAAUCAUUCUUUUUCUCUCUUUUAUCUUUUUCUGGUUUAGGAUUCAAUGUGAUGCAGGCUUCAUAGAAGGAAUUUGGGAGAAUUCCCUCCCUUCAGUUGUUUUGAAUACCUUGAUAAGAAUUGGAUUUAGUUCUUUUUUAAAUGUCUGGUAGAAUUCAGUAGUGAAGCAUUCUGGUCCUGGGAUUUUCUUUUUUGGGAGGGUCUUUAUUACUGAUUUAAUUUCUGUGUUGGUUUUUGGUUUUCUGUCUUUAUGACUCAAUUUUGGUAGAUUGUAUGUGUCUAGGAAUCUAUGCAUUUCUUCUAGGUUUCCCAAUUUGUUGGCAUAUAGCUCUUUGUAGUAAUUCUUGAUGAUUCUUUUUAUAUCUGUUGUUACAUUUCUUUUUAAUCUCUGCUUUAUUGAUUUGAGUCUUCUUUCUCUGUCUCUUUUUUUAGUUUGGCCAAUGCUGUGUCAGUUUUGUUUAUUGUUUUCAAAAAACCAGGUCUUCAGUUCACUGAUUUUCUGUAUUUUUGUUUCAAUUUUGUUUAUUUCUUCUCUAAUUUUAAUUAGUUCUUUCCUUCUACUAAUUUUUGGCUUGGUUUGUUGUUUUUCUGUAUCCUUGAGAUGCAUUUAUUGUCUUUUCAGUUUCUUGAUGUAGGUGCCAAUUGCUAUAAAUUUCCCUCUUAGCACUGCCUUUGCUAUAUCCCAUAAGUUUUGAUAUGUUGUAUUGUCUCUUCAUUUGUUUCCUGAAAUUUUUUGAUUUCUCUUUGGACUUCUUCUGUGACCCACUGUUCAUUCAGGAACAUAUUGUUCAGUCUUCAUGUGUUUGUAUUUCAUAUAAAAAUUCUUGAGUUAUUGAUUCUAGCUUAAUUCCAUUGUGGUCAGAGAAGAAGCAUGGUAUGAUUUCCAUUUUUUUUUUUUUUAAUUUGCUGAGACUUGCUUUAUGCACUGAUGAGAAGAACGUGUUUUCUGCAGCUGAAGAAUGGAAAGUUCUGUAGAUAUCUGUUACGUCCUUUUGGGCCAUAGUGUUCGUUAUCUGUUGUUUUUUGUUGAUUUUUUGUCCAAUUGGUAUUUCCAAUGAUGAAAGUGGGGUGUUGAAGUUCCCUGUUACUAUUAUAUUGGUGUUUAUGUCUCCCUUUAGAUCCAUUAACAUUUUUUUAAAUAGCCAGGGCCCCUUUCAUUGGGUGCAUAUAUAUUUAUUUUAAUCACAACUUCCUAUUUAAUUGAUCCCUUAAUCAUUACACAGUGCCCUUCUUUGUCUCUUUUUACAGUUUUAUAUUAAAGUCUACUUUGUCUUAUAUGAGGAUGGCAAUACCUGUCCUUUCUGGCCUUCCUUUAACAUGGAAUAUCUUUUUGCAUCCUUUCACUUUCAGUCUACAUGUAUCUUUGUUGGUAAGAUAUGUUUCUUGUAGGCAGAAGGUAGAUGGGUCUUGUUUUUUAAUCCAUUAGAGCAGUCUUUAUCUUUUAAUUGGGGGUUGAGGCCAUUUACAUUAAAGGUGACUGUUGAUAAAUAACGACAUGCUCUGCCAUUUUUCCAUAAAUAUACCUAUUUUUUAUUUUGUGUUUCUUUUGUACUUUUACUGCAGGAUUUUCUGCCUGCACAUUCUUUCAUAAUGAUGGCCAUUUUUCUGUUUCUAGGUAUAACACAUCCUUAAGCAUCUUUUGUAAGACUUAAUGAGUGACAUAAAAUUCUUCCAAUUUCUGUUUGCUGUGAAAGGUCUCUUUUCACCUUAAUUCAUAAAUGAGAGCUUUGCACGGUACAGUAUUCUGGGUUGACAGUUUUUUUUUUCUUUUAAGACUUUGACUAUAUAUUCUCGUCAUUGUCUUCUAGCCUGUAAUGAUUCUACUGAGAAGUCAGCUGUGAGUCUAACUGGUGACCCUGUGAAAGUGAUCUGGCAUUUCUUUCAUGCAUAUUUUAGAAUAUUUUCUUUAUGUUUUACCAUGGGAAAUUUGUUUUUUUUUUAAUAUUUAUUUCAUUUAUUUGAAAGACAAAGUUGCAGAGAGAGGCAGAGAGGCAGAGAGAGAGAGAGAGAGAGAUAGGUAUUCCAUCUGAUGGUUCACUCCCCAGAUGGCCACAAUGACCGGAGCUGGGCCGAUCUGAAGCCAGGAGCCAGGAGCUUAUUCUGGGUCUCCCACUUGGGUGCAGGGGCCCAAGGACCUGGGCCAUCUUCUACCAAUAUCCCAGGCCACAGCAAAGAGCUAGAUUGGAAGAGGAGCAGGCAGGACUAGAACUGGCACCCAUAUGGGAUGCUGGUGCUUCAGGACAGGGCUAUAACCUGCUGAACCACAGCACCGGUCCCUACCAUGGGAAAUUUGACUACAGUGUGUCAUGGUGAAGAUCUUUUCUGGUCAUGUCUAUUAGGAAUUCUGUUUGCUUCCUGUACUUGGAUGCCCCUUUCUUUCUCUAAUUUGGUGAAGUUUUCUGUAGUUAUUUCACUAAAUAAGCCUUCUAUUCAGCUCUCUCCACACAUUCAGGAAUUCCUUUAGUUCAUGAAUUUACUUCUGAUUACUUUUGUGUAAUCCUAUGAUUAAUUUUUUGAAUUUCAUUUCUGGUAUUUCCUCAGUCUCUUCAUGUUCACAUUCUAAAAUUGAAAUGUUGUGUUCUUUGGGAGCUCAUAUGUCUUCCUUAUUCUUGUUUCCUGAAUUUUUGCAUUUGUUUUUAGGCACUUUUGGAGUUGAUUUUUUUUCUUCUUUUGACUUUUAUCAUUGAGCUAUGCCUCUGUGGCUCAGUGGGAUGUCUGCACUUUCAGUGAAUACCAAGCAGUAUGUGGUGAGUGUGGCCAUGGAGCUCUGGUCACUGCUCCAGGGUGGGGCAAGUAUUCAGGGUAUCACCCAAGUUGCUCAUGGUAGAUUUCAAUAGCCCCCGGUGUGUUCUGUGCCACCAAAUUAACUGCACUAAUGAUUUGCACAGUCCUCACUGUGUGCACAGGUCCCACUGCAACAAUCUGCUCUAGGCCACCAAGGAGCUCUGAACAUGUGGAGGUGCACCCAGUGAUUGCCCAGAGACCCAGUUAUAACCUGCAUCAUCUCAGGAAACCACCAAAUCCCCACGGUCUCUGCAUACAAGGCUCCUUUAGUCGCUAGUUACAGAGGUUUCUCUCUGCCCUGCCAGCCUGUCCAGUCCACAGAGAGGCAGAUGUUCCCUGAGACUGCCCCUCCUAGGUGUGCUGAUCCUGAGCGUCUGUAGGCACCUCACUGUCUCACGUGGUUGGCCAGCUACCUCCCAGCCAGGCUCAGCCAUUGGGGACUGUGGACUGUUCCUUCACUAGGAUCUCUGGAUCUUGUACACCAGAGUCAUUGGACGAAUGUUACUAUCUUCCUGCCACUGCUGCCAGUACGCUGAGAAGAUGGAGUCCUGUCUCAGCCAGUUGCUGUGAGUGCACACAGUCUUCAGCAGCUCCUGCCCCAAACCAAAAUGGCACCUGCCCUUUCUCAGCCAGGCAGUGGAUACUGUUGUGGGGAAGUCUGGGUGGGAUAAAUGUCUCCCCUCUACUUCCAGUGGAACUGCAGGCAACCACUAGCAACCACUAGCCCACAGUGCUCCAGUCCAGAUGCACGCCAUGCUCUCCUUCCUCCUCUGUCACCGUGGGUUGCUGCAGUCUGGUUUCAGUUCCGUCUCCAAGCUGCCACCUGUCCCAGCUCUCUGCUGCUGCAGUUGUGGUUAUGUUCGCAUCCAUGCCUGCAUCCUCACCCUCCACACGGGUCCACAGUGUUCCUUUUCCUCUUGUAGGAUUUCCAGUGUAGUUUUCUCUCCAGUUCACUCCUGAAAGUGAACUUCUUACACUUUAUUUUUUUUUUUUUUACUGUUUAUCCCUAGCCUAGCACAGUAUGUUUUUCCUUAAUUUUCCUUCUUGGAAUCUCUCAAAUUAAGUAUUAAUAACUUCAUUUUACACAUGAGAGCUCUGAGGUUUGAACCUUAAUUUGCCAAAGAGGUUAUAGAGGUUGAGAGCGGGAUUGAAAGUGAAGCAAAGCUUUGUUAGAAAUUAGAGAUGGUUUUCCUAGUUCUGAUUGCAGGUAAAAAAUGCAGACAUUGGCCUUCUAAUGGCUCUGUCCUUCUCCCUCCUUUAAGAGUAGUUAUCUCCUUCACUUUUUCUUCCGCUGUCAUGCCAAGCUAUCCAGCUAGACUCUCUUUUUUUCUACUUUUUUCCAAUUUCCUGUCAUUCAGAAAUUUAAGAGAUACACAAAAUUCUCAUAUUCCAUGAGCCUCUUUGCUGGCUGUGUUAGAGACUGGCUAAUAUCCACCAUGGCUGCUGCUUCUUCCUCCCAGGAACGUAGACACAUGAGUUGCCCAGUGCUGCUUCCAAUAGAUGUGGACAUGGGCUCUAGUGGUGCCUUCCCCUCUAUCCUGGGCCACAGCAUACUCCCACAUAUGUAUCUCCUGGUUUGUUUUUUUUCUCUUCUAUUGAAUAGAUGCACAGAAGUUUGAGGACUUUGGGAAAGGCAGAGUUAUGAGCAGAAGUCUUAUUCUUUCUUGACUGCAUGGAAUGGAAAACCUCUUGCCCAUCUGUGUUCCAUUAAGAGGCAAGAAGCCGUCUUUUCUUGUGCUAAGGGGUUAGGAUUUCUUGUGAAAGCACUUAGCAUGUCUUAUUAUGAUAUCCUAUUUCUUACUGACUUCUUUAGUGUUGGUGAAUCCUGAGUUUAUUAUGUUUAGCAUUUUUACCAUAUGCUAAAUUGAAAAGUAAUGUGUGAAUAUUGUAGAAAAUUUAGGAGUGAGGAAGAGGAAAAGUAGAAAAGGAGGAAGCAAUGUAAAUGUUUACAGUUACUACGUUGGCAUAUUUUCUUUGCAUCUUACUUGUCUCAUCAGGUUUUUCCACAAUUGAUAUCUUACUGAAUAGAGAAUUUCACAUUUUAUCUUUUUUGCUUUACAUAAUGGUGUAAUCUGUUUUCCACAGUGGUUAAAAAUUAUUUAUAAUAACAGCUGUACCCCAUUCCUUGCAUGCACCAUUAUUUAUUUAACCUUCCUCUUAUCACUGAUGAUUUAUUUGUUUCUUCACAAUUAAAAUAUAAUGCAGUGACAACGUCUUCAUCCAUAAUGCUCUUUCUAUAAGAAAAUAACUUGGAACUGGACCAUUUGUUCUUUAGAGACAUGUUUUGUUCUUCUUUCAUUUCUUCUACUAAUGUGGUUCAGCGUGCUUCUUGUUCCAGGAGAAGGUAACAAAGGGGUCACAUGACCGAACCGGGAGCAUGCAUUGUGUCACAGGGGUGACCAGAUGACUUCAAAGGUGCUUGUCAAUGUCAGUUGUUUUAGCACGGACAAAAAUUUUUAUUCAUUAAAUAAUCUCUUAAUACUUACUGUCUAGACAGAGACAACUAUAUUGGCAAUUGCUUAGGUGUAGGCAGGGACAAAGCCUUUUGGGUGAUUUACUCAUUUAAAAGUUAUUCAUUUUUAAAAAGGCACUAUAUUAACAUGGGUCAGUGUUCAAAAAGAUUUUGUGUGUGUGAGUGUGUGUAUGUUUGCAUGUAUUUAUUUCUAGAAGCAGGAUUUCUCCCUUAAAAAGUGUAUCAGGGGCCAAUAGAGUGGCUGCUCCACCUCUGAUCCAGCUCCCUGUUAAUGUGCCUGGGAAAGCAGAAGAAGAUGGCCCAGUUAUCUGGGCCCCUGGCACUCACGCAGGAGACUCAGAAGAAGCUCUUGAUUUCAGCCUGCCCCUGCCCCCAUCAUUGUGACCAUUUGUGGAGUGAAACAACAAAUGGAAGAUUCUGUCUCUCCUUCUCUCUCUGUAACUAACUCUGCUUUUCAAAUAAAUAAAUAAAUAUUUAAAAAAAAAUAAAGGUGUAUAAGUUUGUUAUUAUGCAAAAUAAGCCAUUUCUUUUAUUUCUUUCUUUUAUGAAAUUUUCUGUUUAUAUAAGCUGAACAAAUUUCAUGUAUUUCAUAUACACGGAUUUGGGAGCAUAGUGUUACUUCCCACCCUACCCUCCCUCCUGCCAUAGUCCCACACUCCCUCCUACUUACUUUCUUAUUUUUUUAAUUAUUAAAAUGACAUAAUCUCAGUUUAUUUUAUAAUCACAAGCUUAACCCUCCACUAAGUAAAGAAUUCAACAAGUAAUACGUAGGAAAAACCACUGGUCAUCAAGAGUAAAGACAAAGGCUGUAAACAAUAAUAAAAUCUCAAAAUGUCAAUUUUGCUCAUAGACAUUGUAUUUUUUUUUUACUCUGUGUAUUACCACAAGUCAGGAAAAACAUGAUUUGGGGGGGGAUUUGGUUGUUUAAAAUAAUAAUACACAUUUUGUAUUAUUAUUAAUGUUAAGUCUACAUGUCAGCUGGGUGGUUCUGCAGAUAAGGGCAAAGUUCCAUGGAGAUUUUCUGGGCUUGGUCAGUAGCUGCAGUCUGCUGAUGGUUGGCUUGGAUCUGGGUUGUCCAAGAUGGCUGUUGGUUGAAUAGCUAUUGACUAUAGAGGCAGGCAGUGGGGCUUUAUGUCUGUUGUCCUCUGGCAAGCCAGUUUAGACCUGAUCGCAGGGAGAUGGCAGGAUUCAAAGAAAGCAGAAAAAAGGGAGGUAUUUUGAGGUGUAGUCUGAAAGCCAGUAGACCACUUCCAUUCUGUGGCCAAGGAGACACAGGACAAGCUCAGAUUCAAGGGGGGAAGUUAAGUAGAGUUAUCUCUUAGAGAAGAAUGCUAUUGUGUAUAUGCAAUACCCCCAUGUAAGAGCAGGGGACAUGGAAGAAUGCAAUGUUGCAUGCCAUUUUCAGUCUGCUACAACAGGGCAAGUGCACUCAAAUUUUGAAAAGACCUUUUAAAAUAGCAGUUCAUAAAAUGUAGCAAUAUAUGCUACCACCAGUAAUAUUUGAGGGUACUUUUUUCACUAUAGUUUCUUCAACAGAGCAUAUUAUCAAAGUUUUGGACUUUCAACAAUUUGAUAAAUGAAAAUACAUUCUUGGUUUAAUUUUGUAUUUUCAUUUAUCUUUUUUUAAUUUUGAUGAAGUCUAAUUUCUUUUUUUUAACUUUUAUUUAGUAAAUAUAAAUUUCCAAAGUACAGUUUAUGGAUUACAAUGGCUUCCCCCCCCAUAAUUUCCCUCCCACUCGCACCCCUCCCAUUUCCCGCUCCCUCUCCCAUUCACAUCAAGAUUCAUUUUCAAUUAUCUUUAUAUACAGAAGGUCCAUUUAGUAUAUAUUAAGUAAAGAUUUCAUCAGUUUGAACUCACACAAGCUGAUUUGUAUUUCCUUUUUUAUGAACUGUUUUCUGAGCCUUUUAUUUUAGUGGCUUGAAGUCAUACAGCCAUGGACCGAGAGGGGAGAGAAAUAAGGAUGGAGUGGAAGAUAAAGUCAGACAGGAGACUGAAGUCAGUUAAUAGGCACUUAUAAUGACAUUUUAAGAACUAUUGACUGUAUUCUACAAAGCAAAGAAGUAAUACCGAGUUUUGGGGCCAGAGGAGUUAGGCAAUCAGAGAGCAGGAUGUGAAGAGGACUGGGCAGUAGAAUGUAUCAGAGAGAUCCCUGCAAUGAUGCAGGGCAGGGGUCCUGUGACUUACAGUGGCAUCAUGAGGGAAUAGAUGUGGGGAAGGGAGACAGGUGGGCAGAAGACUGAUGGAUUGUGCCAGGUGACUGUAAAUGCAGGGCCGCCACUAAUGCAGAUAACAAGACAUGGCAUUGAGUGGCUCACUUUUUUCCAUCUCGUUGAAUUAGCUGCACCACUGAGACAUGCACAGGAGAUGUCUGUAAGGCUAUGCAAUGUUUGAAUCUGUAGCUCAAGAACAAGGUCAGGACUAGAAAUAAAAACCUGAGAAUCAUCCAUAUAAAGGUGAUAAAGUUAUCAAGGGAAAGCAUUCAGUGAAUAAAGAAUCCAGGACAGAGCCUAGGGAAAGACAUAUUUUAAGGGAUGAGUGUAUGAAAAGGAAACAAUGAAAAGGCUGAGAAAUAGUAUGGAUUGCUGAGAUUCUUGGCAGCUGCAAAGUUCAGCAAUUCUCUGGACAAUAAUAAAUAUAUUACUCCAUCUUGUGCUCUGCCUACGUGAAGCCUUGUUCUGAAGUGAACCAUCUCUUGUUUCCUGAUCUUCAUAAUGGUCUAGCUAGAGCCUCUUUCAUUCCAGCCGUCGGUUUCCAUGGCAUAUGUUGUGUGUCAGCAGUUUGUCCCACUUGUGUUCAAUUUGGCGAUGAACAGCUAGCAGCGUUCAAUUGCAGCAAGCACAGCCCCAUUGCUGCGGGGCUGAUUCUCCUCCAGCUCCAUAUUGUGGGUGAAUUUGUCUUUCUGCUUGUUGAUAAGUCUGGCUCAUAGGGAACUCUGACAAAAUGGUCUCCAAACCACAUUUGAUAACAGCAGCUAGUCUGAAUUUUGCAUUUACUCAGUAGGUUGGAUACUUUGAUGUGAUUUGGAAUGCUGGUUCAGCCAUCUCAUUCUUCCUAACCUCUUGGAAGAUGUGAUUCUAUGUCUCUCUCUGCUGUUUUUUAAUCAAUAGCAACAGGGACCUGAACAAUAGAGAGAGUACACACUGCACUCUGCUAAUGAAGAGUUUGGAUGCACAGAUAUAUUUUGGUAUGGUAAAUGGCUAUAAAUGACAAUGUAUUGAUUUCUCAUUAUAGCUGCCAUAUUUAAAAAUCCAACUAAAACCUAAUUAAAGAUUAGGGAGAGAGGUGGGAAACUUCUAUAGUGUUUCUAUUUUUGACUUAUUUUUUUUACAUUGACAGGUAAACUUAUAUGUUUUUAUUGCAUAUUAAAACAGCAUGUUUUAUUACAUAUUGGCCAGCACCAUGGCUCAAUAGGCUAAUCCUCCACCUGCAGCGCCGGCACACCAGGUUCUAGUUCCGGUCGGGGCGCCGGAUUCUGUCCCGGUUUCCCCUCUUCCAGUCUAGCUCUCUGCUCUGGCCUGGGAGUGCAGUGGAGGAUGGCCCAAGUGCUUGGGCCCUGCACCCCAUGGGAGACCAGGGUAAGUACCUGGCUCCUGGCGUCGGAUCAGCACGACGUGCUGGCCGCAGCGUGCCGGCUGCAGCAGCCGUUGGAGGGUGAACCAACAGUAAAGGAAGACCUUUCUCUCUGUCUCUCACUGCCCACUCUGCCUGUCAAAAAAAAAUAACAGCAUGGUUUAUUACAUAUUAAAACAGCAUGUUUUGAAAUUAGAUAUAUGGUAUAUAUAUAUAUAUAUGAACAGUGGAGUGACUAAAUCUAGCUGACAUGCAUCACUUCACAGAAUAAUCAUUUUUUUCUGUGCUUGAACAUUUACAAGUUAAAAAUCUUAGAAUUUUUCAAGUAUUCAGUAUUUUUUUUUUUAGUCACCUUGUUGAACAAGAGGUCUCUUGAACUUAACUCCUCCUACCUAACUGAAAUUUUGUCUCCUUUGACUAACACCUUCCUUGACCCCAUGGAGUAUAUGUGACUUAAAUGCUGACACAUGUUUUAAAAUUCCUCGCUUGAGGUCUCUGAGACAAAUCAGAUACGGAAUUGAGCAGGAGGAGAAAAGGGCAUGCUUUUGGAUAAUUCUUAGGAAAACUAGAAGCAAAACGUAGAAUGCUAUUUUGGCGUCCCUUUCUUGUGAACACUUAUUGUUUGGACUUGAAGGCCAGAUGGCAUGCAGAUGGGGAAUUUUACUUUAUACUCAGUAAGCUCCACUUGAUUUGGUGCAGGAUUUUAUGGUGUGAGUCAUCUAUGAAGAGCAUCAGCUGGAGCUGAGGAGAGCAUAGAACAUAGAGCUCUUCACCUUGAGGAGGAAAAAGACACAUAGAGAAGGUUAUUUGGUGUGAAAACACAUGCCACACUCAGGCCAGCUCCCAGCUUUCCCAGGCCUAAGUCAGGGAUGGUCAGUAGCCUCUGGACAAGCUGCGGUUCCGUCACCUGGACAGUUUUUGGGAAUGUGGAUUUUCAGGUACUGCGCUAGUUCCUAAUGAAAGAACCUUUGGGAGAGGGGUGCAGCAAUCUGUGGCCUAACAAGUUCUCCAGGUGAUUCCGAUGCAAAUGAAAUUUGAAAUGCACUGCUGAUCUGGAUUAUAUUGCUUAUUCCUUUUGUAACAAACACUGUUUACUAUAGGCUUUGGGUGCACUACAGAGUUAUAGAUUGCAUAUGUGUUCUCAAGCUAACACUCUUUUAUCUGAACCUGACCUGUGUCACUACAGAUCAUUUAGUUCUAACUCUUCACACUGUUUAGCAAGCAAUGCUUCCAAAUGGGAAAAACAUGUUCUUCUUCUUUUUUUUUUUUUUUUUGACAGGCAGAGUGGACAGUGAGAGAGAGAGACAGAGAGAAAGGUCUUCCUUUGCCAUUGGUUCACCCUCCAAUGGCCGCCGCGGCCGGCGCGCUGCAGCCGGUGCACCGCGCUGAUCCGAUGGCAGGAGCCAGGUACUUCUCCUGGUCUCCCAUGGGGUGCAGGGCCCAAGCAAUUGGGCCAUCCUCCACUGCACUCCCUGGCCACAGCAGAGAGCUGGCCUGGAAGAUGGGCAACUGAGACAGAAUCCGGCGCCCCAACAGGGACUAGUACCCGGUGUGCCGGCACCGCAAGGCAGAGGAUUAGCCUAGUGAGCCGCGUCGCCGACACAUGUUCUUCCUACAAUAUUCUUGGCUAAAAAAUUGUAGCUCCAAAAUCACAGAAUGCAAACACGUACUGGCUGAGUAGCAGUUUAAAUUCCUCCCCCACCCCUUAGAGAGGAAUAGCAGAUAAUAUUCACUGUAAUUGUGAACCACUAAAUACAUUUAAGCAUCAGAUUCUUUCUAAGACUGCAAGGAUAAGGCCAGUCUUAAAAUCUCUGUUUGACUUCAAGUUCGCUUUUUAGGUAAGUCCUGAAGAUGAUGAUUUGAGGACUUGCUCCUCCAUUUUCCACUGCCUACUCACUUGCUUAUGCUUUAAUUUUUAGGAUCACAGCUGUUAAAUAUCUUUCUGUUAAUAUUAAUAGAAUAAGCUUUAAAUCAACACAACUUCAUAGGCACACUUGCUAUGGUUUCUACUAAUGAAUUUAUAGAAUAUACUGUGGAGAAUUUUUCAAAAAAAUCUCCUGAUGGGCCUAAAAUUCACCUAGAACCCAUACUGAAUUUUUGUUUCUUUUUGUUUCUUUCUUGAAGAAGAGCCAGUGUUCUUUUUCUAAGAUUUUUUUUUUUUAUUUUAUGUGAAAGUCAGAGUUAAAGGAAGAGAGAGAGAGAGAGAGAGAGAGAGAGAGAGAGAGAAUAUCUUCCAUAUUUGCUGGUUCAUUCCCUGAUUGCUGCAAGAGAGAGAGAGAGACAGAGAGAGACAGAGAGAGAGAGAGAAUAUCUUUCAUAUUUACUGGUUCAUUCCCUGAUUGCCUCAAAGCCAAGAGCAUGGAGCUUCAUCUGAGUCUCCCACAUGGAUGAUGGGGCCCAAUCACUUGGGACAUCUGGUGCUUUCCCCAGGCCAUUAGCAAGGAGCUGGUUCAGAAGUGGAGCAGCUGGCCCAUUCAGGAUGCCAGUGUUGCAAGCAGCAGCUUUACUGGCUAUGCCAGAAAGCUGGCUCCUUUAAUAUAUCAUUUAAUGAAUAAAUGGAUGUGAAACCUUGUGACAAUCUUUGCCUCUUGGUGACCUGACAUACAUACCAUAUUUAUUAACAACAUUCAACAUGAUCUACCCAUAGAUAAGUGUUAUAAACUGUAAGAGCUAAAGGCAGCCUAGAAACAAGCCAGUGAUCUCAUUUUUUUCUUAACAUUUGGAGAAACAGAGCAACUGAUUUGAUUUUCUCCCUUAAUGUUUCAGGAAAAGAAGAGAAAUAUAUUGCCCAGAAUUGUAUAGGUUUUAGCUAAUUAACAUUAGAUCCCCUAUUGGAGUAUAAGUAUAUGGAGUCUCAGUAUAUGAGGAUACUUAAAAAAGUUCAUGGAAAUAUUAAAACAUAAGUUUAUUUUGGUGCUAGAAUUUUUUGAAAUCCAUUCAUAGUUUUGCUAUAAUAUUCAUUUUACAUGAAGUUUUGAGGGUUCCAUCAUAUGUAGUUCCUCCCCUUUUCUAGAUUCUGGCCUUACAUUUUUGAUGUCUCAGGUUCCCUCUUCUGUUGCAGUGGCAGAACAUCUGCAGAGAUGCUGUCUCUGUUUGGGCUUUGAUCUUCACUGUAUUUUGUGUAGUCCAUCAUCCAUGCUCCUAAGACUCCCAUGUUGUUUCUUGCUCAGCACCACACGUCAGACCAACCAGAUCCACCUGACUCUAGCAGUAGAGUUUAUUUCAGAUUUCUUGCACAGGUCUUUUAGUUGUUACCAUUUGCAAAGUUUGAACAAAAGUACUGAACUGAAAGUUUCAGGUUAUUUACAGGAAGUGUCCAAAGUAGAUUCAAGAUGAUGCCAGUAGCCACUGUAGGAAGCAGAGCUGCCAUGAGGAUCAGAGAAGUACCGAGGUCAGUCACUGCCUUCCAGCUCAGGCUGCAAAAGCUCAGUGGUGGAGGCAACUUUCUAUAGCACAAACAGAAGCAAAACAAGGGCCAUUAACCUCCUGCCUGGAAAACCACGGGCUUUUUAGGAACUACAAGUUGGAACAUGCUUCAGAUAAUUUCAAUUUAACAAAUAUUAAGCAUUCAUUCUAUGAUCAGCCCUGCGUGAAGCCCUGUGGGGGAUAGAAAUGAAUAUGACAGUGUCUGAGGCCUCAAUGUCUAUAGUUUGAAGUAAUGACACUAAACAGGGGACACAGCAUCUUAACAUAAAGGAGGAAUAAGGAUUUUCUUGGAGAACUUAAAAAGGAUCAAGAUAUUAGAGUGCCAGGACUACUAAUUCAAGCAUGAUACAGUCACUACUUCAAUGUCUAAAUUUACAACUGCUAUCCAUAGGGAUGAGGCAGGACCCUCACAUUUCAUUUCUGGUUUGCUCCCUUUAAAAACCACCACAGGGUUGAUGUGCAGGAAAAAAAAAAUAUGCCUCAUGUGGAGUGCGUGUUAUGGUGCAUUAUACUACAUUAGCAGGUACUGAGAAGAGCAAAUCAUGCGACCUGAUGGCAGUAGAGGGGUGAGUCAGAGGCUUCAUUAUUUUGCUGUUGGAGGAUGAACAGCGAAUGACAGAGAAGACCCGAGACUUCAUCCAAACUUAAAGGAAAGUUUAACGUUUGGCUGGAGCACUGCGUGUGACAUGGGGAUGUUUUUAAGAGCCUUGGAAACAGAGAAGUUAAACCUUUAAAUGAUUAGGCAGAGGGGGGCUCUGGAGUAGACGUAAAAGAGCUGAAAGAAAACAAGUGGGCAUUCUGUGUGGGGAAAAGGAUAUGAUGGCCCAGCCCCGUGGACUCCGCCCUGCAGUGCCUGGGGGUUUCAGUGUAGUGGCCGUCAUUUUAGCAGAGCUAAAGGCCCUGCACGCUGGAGUGGAGACGGAGUGGCGAAGGGCCCAAUGUGUCAGUCUCUGGGCAAUGCCCCUCCCCAUGUGGGAAGUGCCUUCCUGCUGAAGGCAGUGAUGUCACAGACCUGGCCACCUGUCUGGUCAGUGGACUGAAUGUCUACUGCAAUGAGGAUCAUCGCUUUCCUGAGCAAUGCUUUCAGUGCUCAUCAUUCUUCCUGUCUAUGAUCAGCCAUGUGUUGUAGGGGAAUGGGAGGGGUUGCAAUGACAGUGGUUGGGAGAGACAAGUGUCUGAUGGGAGGUUUUGAGCCAUCUGGUUUUAGACAUGAAAUGCAGUUGAUUGCUCUUUCCAGCAGAGAGUUCUAAGGGGGACAAGUGCCCACAGGCACACAGUGGACAAGAAGACUUGGAAUUCGGGUAUAGGUCACCGGAUUUCUGGUCAAAGCUUUUUCUUAUUACCAUGUGAUCUCUCACUAGUACAAGGGAGUACAUGCACACACACACACACACACACACUUUAAUAUCUCUUAUCUAGUUGGUAGCCACACGUUCGUUUGGUAAGACCCAGUUAAAGUCUUUCUUUCCUUGAGAACUCUACAAUGACUUUCCCAGAUGGGCUAAAUCAUUUGGUCCCACCUGACCAAUGAGGCUUCCACUCUAUCUUGAUGGGAAUGUUCGCCUGUGUGCUUUUUGUCCUAACUAGUCUAGUUUGUUAUUUGUUUUGAAUUCUCAACCUCUCAUCUCCAUAGGACCUAGCUUGGAACAGAUGCUUAUUAAACAGAUGCUUGUUAAAUGAAAAUGAAUAUAUAAAUAAAUUAAUAAAUAUAAGGCGCAUCAUCAUGAAAUCUUGGAAUCACAGAGUAACCCUAAUAAUGUCUAUAGAAACAGUUUUCUUAUGUAGCAUGUGAAAUAUGUUAUUCUAAACUCUGUAUCACGGGGUUGCAUUUUAAAGUGGGAUACAUCACGAUAUUUAUGGUACUGAGGAAAUUAUGACAUUUUUAUUGUUCAAAGGUAAUGUUCUAUGCAGAUUGAGUGGACUUUUUGACUUUGUAAUGCUAGAAAAAAUAUACCUGAACAGAGAUGGAUUUGAAUAGGAAUUUAGAAUUAGUGAGGUCUUUAGAAAAUAACUUUAUGGCAGAACAAUUUUAUUUACUAUAAAGUUAUGUCACCCUUGUCUUAGAGGCCAUAAAACAUAAACCAGCUGCAAAGGUCAUGAAAAUUUGGUAUGGAAUAUGGAUCAGUAAGGUUAGUUGUGAUUUUCUGAAGUCACAAAAAUGAAAAAGCAGAGAGGAAACUUGCCCAAACUAAUUAUCAUGCUUUUGCUUUUUAAAAAUCUGUUUCACAUUUUAAAGUUUGUAACUGGAAGGCACUUUACAAUCAAAAGACAAAGAAAUGCAGAAUCCCUGAGCAGAGGAGUAAAUUUUGAUGUAAAUCAUCCCUGAGCCUGCAUAUGGGAACUUAACCAAGUGUAAAGGAACCUGUGCAUCUGAUUGUCACCUCAAUUGAUUUAUUCCCAUUGGUUGCACUACAUGCAAUUGAAUUUUAACUUAAAUUAGGACUCUAGGCUAUUGCUUUAAGUGACUUAAAAAAGACAGACUUUGAUGUAGCCCUCACUGAAAAGUUAUUAUGCUUUCAAAAGGGCAAAAUCUUGUUGGUCAAAGAAUAAUUUCCUUUUGUAAAAUGUCAAUCAAUUGACGGUUGGAUUCUUCUCCCAGAGGUAAGGCAUCCACAGUUUACUGCAACUCUUUCAUAUCGGAUGCACAUUGAAAAGUUUUGCCUAUUACCCAGCAGGCAUUGGAAAGUGCACAGCUCUCAGAUCAGUCAUGGAAUGCUGGAAUCAGGAGAAGUGGAGUGACCACCUCAUGGGAUGGAGAGCUCUCGCUGAGCAACCAUGUGUCAGAAUUCCUGCUGCCUUUUGAGAGAAAGCAUUUCACAUCUAUGGAUUUGCAGUUCACUCACGGGGUACUCCCAAGAAGUUGAAAGCGAGAUUUUCAGCAGACAAACUGUGGGACAGAUGAGAGCCUCAGGAAAAUUGACAGCUGACUGUACAUGAAGUUGUGCUCUUCUGGGGCCUCCGUUAUGAAGGAGUCUGCAAAUAAUAGAUGCAUUUUAAAAUGAUGGCAAUGAAACCUAAACUCGAAGAGUUGCAGAUUUAUUCAGAAGGUACCACAGGGACAAGUGCAGAAGUGGGAAAGCCACAGUCCUCUAUCCAUAUAAAAGUAUUCUGCUGGAGGGCAAUGAGGAUUAAAUUGACUCUCCAGGGCUUCUGAAGCCACAAAGUCCUUCAGGUGAGGGGUGAGGGAUAUGCGCUUUCCUGUCUGCCAUCCUCUGCAAAGGACACACUUCCUAUGUGUGUGAGGUUGUGACUCCUGCUGUUGUAAUGGCAGAGUGGACAGUGAGAGAGAGAGACAGAGAGAAAGGUCUUCCUUUGCCGUUGGUUCACCCUCCAAUGGCUGCCUCAGCCGGCGCACCGCACUGAUCCGAUGGCAGGAGCCAGGUGUAACAACAUCCCUAGAUCUGGAUGUGAGGACAGAACCAGGAUUAGAGGAUGUUGAUCCAGAUACAACCAUUCCAAAUGCCAGUGAUUGUUGAAACCAUCUGGAGCCCCAAUAGAAGAUUAAGAAUCAGAAUUAUGCAUUAUACGGGAAAAACUCUUGACAGCACAGUGGGAAUGACCUUGUAAGCCUACUCGAAGCAUUUUCUUUGGAGGAUUGAUUUUGAGUUCUCAGAGAUGGGGGUUGGAAAUUAAUCAGACUUAUUUUGCUUUGUGGCACAUGUAAGAGUAGGGCUGUCCCCUACAGAGUCCUCUGUACUCAUAGGAUCUCUAGGACUCCAGAAAUCUGCCACAAGCAAGCACAGCUGAGGUCAUAAAUGGGGCCCAUUUGAAGUGUCUCUUGAGGGCCAGGAAGCAGACUGGUCUGGAUUUGGAGAGGGGAUCGCGAGGUCUAGAGUUGCAUUACACCUGUUUCCUGUUGCAAGACACUGACAAACCUCAGGUGGACCCAUCAGCUACAGAGGAUGGCUUGCCUGAGCUGGACAAAUAAGGCUUGUUUAGAGAAACUUUAGGGUUUUCAACUACUCACCUCCCUGCCCACCAUCACACACAUGCCGUAUACCAGGUAUAGAGUGAUCCAUUUUCACUCCACAAGGGAAAAGGCUCUAGUUAACUGGAACUGUGUGUGAGUGGCAGUCAGUGGCAGAGCCAGGGAGAGUCUACAACAAGAUUCUCUGUUCAUUUUCCCAUUUUUCCCAGCACUCAGUGUGACAUUAGGGCAGUGGGGAAGAUGAGAAGUGGAAAGCCAGUGGGAAGCUGCUGAGUUAAUCUAUUGGAAAGCAGCGUGGGGACAGGCCUUGUAAGGCCUCAGCUGGACCUUUGAUGUGGAGAGGAGGAGGCUGGUGUCCAUGCCACAGAGUGGGGGUAUCACUGAUGGACACAGAACAGGUCAGGGGGGAAAAGUGUGGACCCUGGUUCAGGAGAACAUGUGGGGACAAUGCUUGUUCUAGUCAAUCAUCAAGCUCGUAACACUACCCAGAAAGGAUGUGGUGCUCAGAGUUUGUUAAGUAUUUUGAAAUGAAUGAAUGCGUGAUUGAGUGGCAUGGGGGUGGCUGUCUGGUGCUGACUGCAGGAAAGAGGGACCUGCCAUUCAAGACUGAGGUCUCGGCCAGUGCGAGAGAGUUCACAGCGGAGUCGUGUCGGAAGCUGACAGGAGCCUUGAGAGUGGCAGUGAAACACACAGAAAUAUAUUCUGUUUUCAAAAGGAAAGCAGGUAUUUCCAGUAGCACACAGGCUGCUCUUCUCUAUGGCUGAUGAAAGUACUCAAUAGUUUGAUUUUAAAACAUCACUUAGUUUUUGAUUUGUCGCCUGAUCACCCUCUGAGGCAUAAACUUGAAAUUGUAAAUAUAGAUUCAACCCUUGAUUUUUACCUGGUUUUCAGGCAAGAAGAAUAAUGAACACUUAAGGGGUGUCGCUAUGAUUGCCUGGAAUUGAAGUGCCUGUUUAUUUUUCAGAAUCCCAUCAUUUCAUCAGGCAGUUUUUACUUCCCUCUCAUGCCUGUUUUUCUCCCGUAGAAAGUUUGAAGGAAUAAUGCAUCUUGGUGGUGCAUAGUGCAUUUGUUUUUCUCCUUCAUUGAAAGCUUUUGCUGUUCAUAUUUGAAAAUCAGCUUAGAUGGAUGCUGCAAUUUACCAAAAUCGAUAUAAUUAGAGAAAAAAAUGAUGCACCAAGAAGAAGACAAUGCAAGGAACUAUUGGGCAUGAUUGGGAUGCUUAACAAGCCUCACAUCUCCAAAGACUCAGAUUGAACCAUGGUGGAACCUGGACUUCCAUACUGGAAAUUUUACUCUGAAGCUUUGUUCCUCUAAGCUCUUCCAUGCCAUUUCACAGCAGAGCAACACUUGAAGAAGUCUGGGUCAGGAGUAUGCCCCUUUCAAGCCAGGGUUCACGCUGGACCCCAUGGCACCCAAAUGGCAUACUCACACCUGAUUUCUUCACAUUAUUAACGUUUGUCCCCAUGGCUGAAGUAGGGUAUCAAACUGUUACAUUCUUUGCAGUACUAAUCUGCUCCUUUAACAGUUGAGUUCUCCCUGGGUUCUUCUGAGUCUUUAGGAGUGUUAACCGUUUGCUUUCUCAGACUGCAAAUUGGGAAGCAGUUCAGGAGCAGACGAGUAUCUUCAAAAGUUGAUUUUUGGGCACAUGAGUGAAUGAUGUGUCUCAGAUGGGAAUGUCACGUAUCAUAUGGAUAAUGGGCUCAGGCCUGCAGAGCCUCUGAGUCUGACUGGAGCCAAGGAGUUUUGCCUUGAGGAGCCCGAGAGAGGUCCCUCAUUCCUGAUGCCUUUAGCAGCAGUGAGGGGAAGAAGACGAGAUGGCCACCGGCACGACCGAGUCACACAAAGGAAAAUGGGGAAAGAUAAAAGUGUGUGCUCCUUGGCGCCCAUGGAAACAGAACACGUUCAUAGAAUGGAAGGACUUUUAAUAGAAGAAGGGUUUUUUACAUUUUAUUUUAUUUAAGGUAAGCAAGUUUCAUGAGUUUAAUAUAUACAGAUUUAGGAACAUAGAAUUUUUUUGUAAAGAUUUAUUUAUUUGAAAGAUAGAGGGAGAAACAGAUCUUUCAUCAGCUGAUUCACUUCUCAAAUGGCUACCACAGCUGGAGAUGGGCAAGGUUGAAAUCAGGAGCCUGGAACUCCUUCUGGGUCUCCCAUGUGGGUGAAGGGUCCCAGCUACAUGGGCCAUCUUCUGCUACUUUCCCAGGCACAUUGGCAGGGAGCUGAAUUGAACGUGGAACAGCUGGGACACAAACUGGUACCCAUAUGGAAUGCCGGCGUUGCAGGCUGCAGCUUAACCCACUAUACCACAAUGCUGGCCCCAUGGUUCUUUUUCUUCUUAUCUUAGUGGGUGUGGAGGAGAUAAGAGUGAGAGAAGUGGAAAAGAGCAGAAGACAACAGGCUUUGCAGCAAGUAGCUCAGUGGCCUCCCCAGCUGGGCACAGCUAGGCGACCUCCUGAGACAUGUCUUCCAGAAGAGAUUAUGGUGUGAGGGUUGGGAAGACAAAUGAGACAUAACAUUUAAAACCAUGUGAGGAACAAGGCACCAUCCCUGUCGUGGGUACCAGGAGGCUUCUUGUGUGACUUCACUUGCAAGCACAUGGAACCACUGCUGCGGGAGGCCGUGGCCCAGGCACCCCUCUGGAAUAACACCUGGAGGGGCUGGACACUCAGGCAUUCCUGGAGAUAAUAAAUGUUGGCAGAAUGUGAUAGGAGGUGAAUUUGGUACAAUAACCACAGAUGCAUUAUUCUACACCCAGACACUAGCCCUGAUAACCCCAGAGGGAGGUGCUGGUGUCUCACUUCUGAUUCAGCUCCUUAGCGUUAGCACCUUGACCAAGGAUGUCUAAGGACAGUGGCACCAUCUCCCCACUUGUUGCUGCUCCUGGGCUGCUCUGGCUGGCUCUUGGGCAGCUCUGUGCUGGCUCCUGGGCGGCUCUGUGCUGGCUCCUGUGCUGCUCUGGCUGGCUCCUGGCGGCUCUGGCUGGCUCCUGGGCGGCUCUGGCUGGCUCCUGGGCGGCUUUGGGCUGGCUCCUGGGUGGCACUGGCUAGCUCCUGGGCGGCUCUGGCUGGCUCCUGGGUGACUCUGGCUAGCUCCUGGGUGGCUACGUGAUGGCUGCUGGGUGGCUUUGGGCUGGCUCCUGGGCGGCUCUGGGCUGGCUCCUGGGCGGCACUGGCUGACUCCUGGGCAGCACUGGCUGGCUCCUGGGUGGCUCUGGCUGGCUCCUGGGCGGCUCUGGCUGGCUCCUGGCGGCUCUGGCUGGCUCCUGGGUGGCUACGUGAUGGCUCCUGGGCAGCUCUGGCUGGCUCCUGGGCGGCUCUGUGCUGGCUCCUGGGCAGCUCUGGGCUGGCUCCUGGGUGGCUCUGGCUGGCUCUGGCUGGCUCCUGUGCUGCUCUGGCUGGCUCCUGGGCGGCUCUGGCUGGCUGCUCCUUCUUAUUUUCAAGCCACUUAAUAUAGUUGGCAGAAACUUCCAGGCAGCUGCAAUUUCUCAAAGUUGAGAUUUUAAGCAAGGUUUUUUUUUUUUUCUUUUUUUUUUCUCAUCCUAUUUCAAAAGGACUGCCUCUUCCUAAUGUGCUUCAUAGCAUCCUUGCUGAAUGCUUAUUACCAAGGACGCCUCGAUCCCAUCGGUGUGUGAACCACAUUUCUGCCCUGCCUCCUUCUGCAAAGGCUGCUCUCUUUUUUCCCUGCUGCCUUUGUUUUCUGGAUUCCGCUGUGGGAUGUGGCUUAGGGCUUAAUCCAUUUUUGAUAAGAGUAAAUCUCAGGUGAAGUUGAAAGUAGGAAGAGUCUUUCAUGGCCCAGAAACACAGCUCUUGGAUCUUGAUGAGUAAUAGCAUUCAGCUCGUCCUGUAACUGAGGUGUGCUUGUGGUCGUGUCACACUGAAGGCUCCUGUUGUUUGACUUCUGGAAGGAAGCUCUGGUUGUGGUGCUGGUGGUGGUGGUGGUGGUGAGCUGGAGGCAGAGCUGACGGAGAGCGUGCGACCACCACAGGUAGGUUACUGUUGGCACCAACGUUUUGCCCUGCACUUGUCAAACUCUGCUAAAGAUCAUGCAAGUUAGACAUUUGUUUAUAAUUAAAAAAAAAAAAAACAAAAUUAAAAGAAGAUUGGGUCACAUUGCUUAUAGGCAGAGAAAAAGAAAUCUGGAUUCAGGUCUAAUGGGACCAAAGGCCACUUUCAUCCCUUCUACCCUACUCUGCCACUUUCACCCCUAAAACAAUAAGUUAUCUUUUCCUUUCCUCACUUCACUGUCUCUGGUUCUUACCCACUUCUAAUUUUUAUAGCUAGAUAUAAACUAGAGUAAGCUCUCAUAUUAACCAUGCCCUUGGAAUACUUACCUUCAAGUACAAAGUGCUUGCAUUGCUUUGGGUCCUGCUGGGGUGGGUGUGUGUAUUACAGGUACAUGUUUGUGUCCACCUAGAGUUCUCUCCAGAGGAUGCUAUUGUGGUUGAUUAGGUCAGGAGGGUGGCACUCUAAUGACUGGGCUGUGUGAUCUUACAGGGGACAGGAGUGUGUGCUUUUCCCUGUCUGCCAUGAGAGGACACAGUGAGAGGGUGCAUGAUCUGCUGUGCCGCGAUAUUAUACUUCCCAGGCUCCUGAGCCGUGGAAAUAAAUAAUCAAGGCACCCAGACUGUGGUGUUCUAUGAUGCCAGCCAGGACUUACUAAGGUAGUGAGGGACAGUGGACAGACUGGGCACGGGAUGAAGGCUCCCUUGUGGAGGUUGCUUAACACAGUGCCUGCCCAAAGGAAGUGCUUAGUAAGUGCUGGUUGGGUGAACAGAAAUAGGGGAGGGAAAGGCUCAGUAUUACUGCAUUCAGUUCUUUCAGUAUGCUAACGGUGUUUAGGCACUGUGAUGUGCCUCUCACAUCCCUACAGCGGAAGACUCUGCCUCCAUCUCCUGCUCUCGGCCCCUUUAGUGGAGGCAGAGGCAGAGAGCUGCCUCGCUCCUGGUCUUCCUUCUCCUGAUGAUUACAUAUUUUGUCUGACUGGUGCAGUACUGACAGCCCCAGGCUGCCUGGAUAGUUCUGGGUGUUCAAGGAGCUGCAGAACUCCCAGAGUUUGCAAGGGUGUUGGAGCCUGCCUCACAGUUGCAUUUGCUUACUCCCAACCUCUACCUCCUGCAUAACCAGAAACUCAGAGUCAGACCUGGGAAGCCGCAAGCUGCAACUGCACAUGGCCAAGUACUGGCUGGGGGAUUAUUUUUUUUUUUUCAGGCCUAGAGAUACUAUAAGGUGGUCAUGCUUGAGAUCCCUGUGAAACAGGCACAAUUCAGGACAUCCUCGGUGUUCUAGUAUAAUGUGUCUUUUGCAAAAUAAGGCUGUAUUAUUGAUUACUAAUGGCCAAUUUACAUUUUUUUGACAGGCAGAGUGGACAGUGAGAGAGAGAGACAGAGAGAAAGGUCUUCCUUUACCAUUGGUUCACCCUCCAAAGGCCGUUGCGGCUGGCGCACUGCGCUGAUCCAAAGCCCAGAGCCAGGCGCUUCUCCUGGUCUCCCAUGCAGGUGCAGGGCCCAAGGACCUGGGCCAUCCUCCACUGCACUCCCUGGCCACAGCAGAGAGCUGGACUGGAAGAGGGGCAACCCGGACAGAAUCCAGCGCCCUGACCGGGACUAGAACCCGGUGUGCCGGCACUGCAGGCAGAGUAUUAGCCUAGUGAGUCGCGGCUAAUUUACAUUUAAACAUGAAGCAGAGCUUGUACCUGAAGUAGGUUAUAAAGAGACACCAAUGCCUGGGAACCACUGAAGUGCUUCUGUCUAGUACAGUUGAGAUUAAUCAGUGUUCCACCUACUUGUUUAGUUUGCUUAGAAUAUGAUGCUUCCUGCUGAUAUUAUUCUCAGUAUAUUUUUCUUCAAGAACCCCAACACAGUUGUGGUAGGCAUAAGAGCUCCACUCAUUGCUUUUUGUCCAUUAACACUUGGUUCUUAGGUUAUUGCAGUCUGUGUUCAAAACACAGUAGUUGAAACUGUUGCUGCCUGGUACUCGAUCUAUUUGCUUGCAUUUUCUAGAGCUGUCAUAAACAAAGCAGUUCCAGCUUCGCUCAUUUGUCCCUGCUCUUCUGUUCUCCCCUCAGGUCAUGUCAAACAACCACAGAAACCAUUUGACCUGUGUAUUUAACCACACAUCAUUGCUGUUGGAAAGUUCUAGAGUACGGGGACCACACUCUCCAUAAGUUUUUUUUAAAGAUUUAUUAUUUUAUUUAUUUGAAAGGCAGAGUUACAGAGAGAGAGGGAGGGAGAGAGGGAGGAAGAGAAAGAGAGAGUGAGAACAAGCGAGCAAGCAAGCUCUUCCAUCUGCUAGUUCACUCCCCACAUGACUGCUAUGGCUAGAGCCCGGAGCCAGGAGCUUCUUCCAGGUCUCCUGAAUGGGUACAGAGGCCCAAGCACUUGGGCCAUCUUCUACUGCUUUUCCAGGCCAUAGCAGAGAGCUGGAUCGGAAGUAGAGCAGCCGGGAUUUGAACUGGCGCCCAUAUGGGAUGCCGGCACUGCAGGUGGUGGUUUACCUGCUAUGACACAGUGCUGGCCCCAUUCCGUCAUUUUUUUUCAUAAACAAAAGCAUGAAGGGUGUUAUGCUCAGUUCAGAUGAUCCCUGUCAUACCUGUUCUGACCACCAUGGUGGCAAGACCAGAAACAUGGCUCCAUCAUCUUAGUUAGGAAUUGAUUCUAUGGCUGGCAGUUUCAACGAGAGCAGACAAAGAAAGAUAGAGGAAGCAAAGGAGAAAUAGAGAGCACACAUGAGACCUGGGAUAUGACAGUGGGUUCCACAAGGACCUUUGUGUGGAUUAAGACAAGGUUGUCCUUUGGGGAGCUCCAUGUGUGGUUCACUGGGUGAAACUCUAUAUGAAUUAGAAAAUGCCAUCUCAGGCCGGUGCCUUGGCUCACUUGGCUAAUCCUCCACCUGCAGCGCCCGCACCCUGGGUUCCAGUAAUGGUUGGGGCGCCGGGUACUAGUCCUGAUUGCUCCUCUUCCAGUCCAGCUCUCUGCUGUGGCCUGGGAGGGCAGCAGAGGAUGGCCCAAGUGCUUGGGUCCCUGCACCCACAUGGGAGAACAGGAGUAAGUUCCGGGCUCCUGGCUUUGGAUCGGCGCAGCACUGGCUGUAGUGGCCAUUAGGGGAAUGAACCAACGGAAGGAAGACCUUUCUCUCUGUCUCUCUCUCACUGUCUAUAACUCUGUGUCUCUCUCUCACUGUCUAACUCUGCGUGGCAAAAACAAUAAAAAAGAAAAUAAAAAUAAAAAAGAAAAUGCCAUCUCAUUUUCAUUGGAGAUUGUCAUCCUGUGCUCUGAGGGCUUUCCCGGGUGGGAUAGCUAUCGCCACAGUCCCAGCUUCCACUCACUGGACGCUGAUAGCACUCACACGAUGUGGAAUCAUCAAAAGCUUGUUCAGAUAUCAGUAGGUGCUUCCAGGGGGGCAGAAGUCAUCCCCUGUGAGAGGCGCUCACUUAGUGCAUGUAGCAGUAUGCAGGAGUGCACCCUUUACAGAAAGGAUCAUGGUAAGCUUGCCAGCCAUCCCGCCCCACCUCUGCACCCCUACAGUACCCUCGGCAGGUGUAUUUUUGCAGUGUAGAGUCUCCACAGCUGUGUGUGGCGGCCCUGCUGAUUACCCUGCAAGCCUGCAAACUGGCUGAAUUUCUUCCAGUUGCUUCACCGAGAUACUCUUGAAUCCUUAAAACCUGUGCUCUUUGUGCCUUGUCUUGCUUAAAUUGUUACUUUACUUUGUAGGCAGACCAGUGCCCUCCUCUUCUCACCCCUCCCCUCCUCUGGUUCAUCAGAGAUUUCAGAAAGUGCUUUUCCAUGGCCAGUUUUGUGGCACAGUAGAUUAAACUGCUGUGUAUGACCCUGGUAUCACAUAAUGAGUACUGGUUAGAAUCCUCACUGCUCCGUUUCUGAUCCAACUCUCUGCUAAUGCACCUGGGAAAGCAGCAGAAGAUGGUGCAAGUAUUUGGGCCCCUGCCACCCACGUGGAAGCCCAGAGAAAGUUCCUGGCUUCUGGCUUUGUUGUCGAAACCACUUGGUGAGUGAACCAUUGGAUGGAAGAUUCUCUCCCUCCCUCCCUCCCUCCGUCCCCCUCUCCCUCUCCCUCUCCAUCUCCCUCUCCCUCUCCAUCUCCCUCUCCCUCUCCCUCUCCUUCUCCCUGUCCCUCUCCCUGUCCCUCUCCCCCGCACCCUGCUUUUCAAAUAAGUAAAUAAAUAAAUAUAUCUUUUAAAAUGUACUUUCCUGUCACUGUUAGCUUGAGUAGCUCUCUAUCACUCUGUUGAAAGUUUUUGAAUGUGUGACAGUGGUUUGGAAGGUAUUACCUCUGUCAGCACUUAUCUCACCCCCCCCCUUUUUUUUUGACAGGCAGACUGGACAGUGAGAGAGAGAGAGACAGAGAGAAAGGUCUUCCUUUACCAUUGGUUCACCCUCCAGUGGCCACUGCAGCUGGCACACUGCGCUGAUCGAAGGCAGGAGCCAGGUGCUUCUGCUGGUCUCCCAUGGGGUGCAGGGCCCAAGCACUUGGGCCAUCCUCCACUGCACUCCCGGGCCACAGCAGAGAGCUGGACUGGAAGAGGGGCAACCGGGACAGAACCUGGUGUGCCGGUGCCGCAGGCGGAGGAUUAGCCUAUUGAGCCAAGGUGCUGGCCGAUCUCACCCCUUCUUAAAUGGACUUUUCUGUUUUUCCCUCAGAUUUUUUUUCCUUGCACAACAUGCAUCUUAGAUACUGUGUUACAUUUUGGUUUCCUUUCAAGACUGUGGCAUCAUUCCCCUUUAUUCAUGCUGUUUCAUCUUUGACGAUUGAUAAAGAUGUGUCCUGAAACACAUAAUUUCUCAUAACUUAAAGGAACUUAGACUGGUAUGCAUGAGACAGGACAAAUAGAGUAUUUACUAAUUAAUUGAAAACUAUGUUUUAAAGUGAGAAAGAUAAAGUGAUAUUUUACAAGAAGGUAGUACUUCCUGUAAUUGUGAUAGAGCAUGAAAAGGGUGGUGAGCUAUGGAGUCUCCUUUGCCUCAUUUGUAAUCAGGCUCGUAGGCACAUGGUCUGAGUGCAAGGUUGGAUUCCACCAGUACUCAGAUUUAUUUCCUUUUAUUUCUAUGGAAUGAAAAUCCUUACAAUUCCGAGUUGUCAGGAAUGGUACCACUGUUUGGUGAUGCUGUGUUACAGUUUUGGAUAUUUUGUCAGGUAUGGAUGGCCUCAGAAAUUAUAACUCGUUUUCUUAAUCAAGCACACUUUCAGACACUGGGACACUGAUUUGAUGAGCACUUGCAUGUAUCCCACUCGAGAGCCCACUGUGGGGUGGGCAUUUGUGUGGCGGCUACCAUGCUGCCUGUGACACCCCCAUGUCGUAUCAGAGUGCCUGGGCUCCAUUCUUGCCUCUGCUCCUGAUUCCAGUUUUCCUGACAGCAGGUGAGGAGGACUCAGGUACUUGGGUCCCUGCCACCGAACCCAUGUGGAAGACCCAAAUGUAAGUUCCUGGUUCCUGACUUUAGUGUGGCGCAGCCCUGGCUGUUGCCAGUGUUUGAGAACUGAACCAGUGGAGAGGAGUGCUUUUUGUCUGUCUCUCUCUGCCUCUGAGUUAAACAAUUUUGAUAAAACUCACUGAAUGUUCCAACUUCUGAGAUUGAAGGGUGUAAAUCCCUGAUUCACAUUUCAGCCACAUUUGGGUGUGAAAAGUUUCUUUUCAUGAUCGUUUACAGUGUUGGAGUGUGACUGCCAAAGAUGCCCCAUUGUGUCAUUUCAUUUGCACCAGUGGGGGAAAGAAACCAGAGAGAUAGCAGCCUGGCCUAACCUCCCACCACACCAGCCUCCUUUCUGUACCAGACAUUCUGGGGCUGUAUCCCUCCUGCAUGUUAGCACCUGUUUCUCCUCCCUUCUGCAUGCCUGCUUCCUUUUCUGCCUUAGGUCUCCCCUCAAGUUUCACCUUCCUAGGGAGGCCACUGACUAAAGUAGAGAUGAGAUUGGCUAUUUCUAACUUAGCUUCACUGGGCAGCUGUGUCUCCUCUCCCUGUCUACUUUAUAGCAUUUAUCACAGUCAGUGAUGACGUUGCUUGUUUACCUAUUUAUUAUUGGGUUUCCCAACAUGUUGUUGAGGCCAGGUUGUGUGAACAGCUCUUAUUUCCAGGUCCUGGGCGCAACAGACGCUCAAUAAAGAGGAUCUGAAUCUCUAAAUUGCUACUUUAUCCCACCCCAUGGUGUCUUUUUCAUUUUCUAAAUGUAUUUAGAUUUCGGUCUUGUCUUUGUCUUUUUCAAGUGAAAAACUGGCUUUUUAUAGAGAAUAUUCUGUUGUUUUCCUUCCUUGAAAGAAAAGUCAAUUGGUUCAGCUGAGAAUUUACCAUAUUUUCCUUGGAAAUGAUUGAUGGCUUUGAUGGCUUCAUGCCACUCUUUAGAAAAAUCUCACAACUUUGGAUUCCCUGGGAGCUGGAGGCAAGCAUAUCGUCGUAUAUUAAAGGGCAAUUUUCAGAUGAUCAAUAGUGGAUUGUCUUUUUAUCCUCUAUUCCUUCCUUUUUCAACCAUUUGGAAGAAGUCACACUUUUGAAUGAAGUGGUUCCAAUCUAUGCAAUCUCAAAUUCCAUACUGCUUGGAGCUCUGCUCACAAUUGUUAUGAACUGAUUAUGUCUCUCAAAGUCCUAUGUGGAAGUCCUAAUCCUGCAAUUUGACUGUAUUUGGAGAUAGGGAUUCUAGGGAGGAAAUUGAGGUUAAUGGAGUCAUAAGCUGGGGUUCUGAUCUGACAGGAAAGGGAGAGACACAGGGACACAUGCUUUCUCACCAGGUGAGUACACAGGAAUGCCGUGUGAGGACACAGGGGGCAGGCGGCUGCUGCAAGCCCAAGAGAGAGGCCUGUCUGGACACUCACUCCGACAGCUUCAGGAUCGUGGACUUCCAGCUGCCAGGCCUGUGAGAAAAUUUCUGCUGUGUAAGCCACCCAGCUGUGGUCUCCUGUAAGGGCAGGCUGAACAGACUGAUGCAACAAGGACUGCGAAAGUUUGAAUUUAGAAUUCAGUUUACCAAUCUCAUCACUAAUUUUGUCCUUUAUUUCAAUGAGUGGACUUUGAACUGUUCCUUUAUUUUUUAGUUUGAAGAUAAUUCACAAUAAAAUAGUAAACAUUAAACUUCAGUUUUAACAAAUGUAAAACACAACACUCAACUUGAAAAUAGAUAAGAGUUGUGAGUUACCAAUAAAAAUAUAGCUGAUUCCAACGCAGCACAUAUAUAACCUUUGGGAAUAUGAUGAUCAUUAAAAUGAAUCAAGAUUUCUCUGAAAAUCAGCAUUUACAUAGCAUUUCAAAUUUUUGUUCAAAAGUCAGUUUGUUGCAUUUCCUUCUGAAGUGAAAAUGACCCGAAAACUAUGUGGGACCCACAUUCCAAAAUGCAGAGCCUUUUUUUCCUUCAAAGCAUUUUGUGUUGAAAGAAGAGCCUUCUCAUGUGUUGGGAGUCCAACGGGAUGGUGCCGGAGAUUGCUUUACCUGCGCCAGGCGGGAGGCCCAGUUGCACUUACAGGUGGAUCCUCUUGAGCCACAUCCCCUCCAUUCACCACCAUCUGUGCCCUGGAUGCGGACCGCCAUGGAGUGCAUCAAGAUCUCCCUUUGCCCUCUGGCUGUAGUUGGUUCAGUGGGAGAUCAGAGAAGGAAGGCAGAAUAAAGCCCUCAUGCCCAGAGACAUGCACGUUGCAAUCCCCAGGGCCUACAAACAUCUCAUCUUCUCUGACAGAAAAAGCAGAAGUGACUAAACUAAGGUCUUAAGAGGCCAGAGAUGAUCCUGCAUGAUCUGGGUGGAUCCAUUGUCUAUCUGAACAGGAACUGAGGUGUCGCUCGCUCCACAGGCUCGCGGAGGAGCGGCAAUGGAUUUGCUGUUGUCUCUUUCCCCGGUCCUCCCGGAUUAGCUGCCCCCCCCUCCACAGAGGAGCAGCAAUGGAUUUGCUGUUGUCUCUUUCCUCGGUCCCCACAGAUUAGCUGCUGGCACCCCCCCCCCCCCGCGGAGGGGCGGCACCCCUGCCAUUUCCCCCGCUUCCACAGAGGAGCGGCACACCACUGGCUGGCUCUCUCAGGGGUUGCUCAGAUGUUCCUGGUACAUGUUGUCUCUCUCCUCCUUUAUAGUCCUCUUCCACCAAUCCCGACUCUGCUGGCGUUCUCUCCCCACACGCUGAGCACGCUGCUCUCCUCCAAUCAGGGGCAGGACCAGCUCCUGCAGCUUGUUAGCUGAAUUGGUGAGGCAGCUGUGUGGAAGUUGUUUAUUCCCUCUCAGCGCCAUAUGGUGGGAGAUCAGGUGCAUAGAGUUAGUCUUAGCAGUUCCAGUAGUUUAGUCUAGUCUCGGUAAUCUCAGUAUUUGUCCUCAGUAUUUAUUUGUCCACAGUCUUAGUACUUAUUUGUCUCCUGGGCGACGGGCCCUGCCAUGUUACGGGAGACGGGCCCUGCUCCCCACACUGAGGGGGUAAAAAUCCCACCAGGAGCUCUGAUGAUGGAGGCAGAGGUGGGAGGGAUGUAGCCCCAAGUGUGGGGAAGAUUGGCUGCUUCCAGAAGCCUGAAGAAGCAAGACUCUCCUGGAGUUUUCAGAAGGAACCAGGCCUACCAACAUGUUGAUUUUAGCCCCAUGAGAUUCAUGACUGUUAGAACUCUGAGAGUAAUUGUGUGCUGUAUUAAGACACUGAGCUGUUUGUUUAUUAACUUUUGUAGGAAGCUAAUUGGAAUAGGGGCAAGAAAAGUGAGAUUAGAGUAUUUAUCAUCCCCUCCCCAUCCCUCUCCUGCGACAGCUCCUGUGGACUGGAUUUGUCUUCUGUCCUGUGCCCCCAGCCUUAUUUCUUAGGCUCUGGUAGCAGCAUUCCACCUUCCCUUGAGGCCAGAAGUCAUUGCGAACAGAAAUCUGCUGGAUUUUCUUCAUUUUAUAGGAACUUGACUUUGCCAUUUCCUGCUCAGCUGCUGACUAAUGCGAGGAGUAACAUCGAGGAAGAUGGGGCCGGCAAUGGCGGAAGCUGUCCUAGUGCUGCCCUUUCUCUCUCUGGCCAGCCUCUGCCUGCUUUGCUGAAUCCCUCCUGGGCCCUGAGGAGAACAAGACUCGGCCCACAAACUUGCAGCCUUGGUCCUCACACAUCAGAGCUGAGAGUACAUUUGCAAAACACACAUGUGGUUUAUGCAGGGAGCAUUUUUCUUUAUUUUAAAUUUUUUCAAUUGAUGAUCUUCUGUAUAUAAAAAUAAUUGAAAAUGAAUCUUGAUGUG